ACUUCCCCCUUUCCGUGAGUCCUUCGCGCCGCGCGCCCCCGCUGAGGGAAGGGCGUCCGUGCCGCCGCGCACGCGCCCCGGGAGCUCCGCCUCCCUCAUCCUGGCCCGCGGGGCCGGAGCGCUUUGUGCGCCUGCGCGGAAAUCCCGGAAGCCUGCCCGGGGAGGGGGGAAGGAGUCAGCGCCUACCGCCGUCUGCCGCAGGCUGGUCAGCGUCGUGGGCAUAAGAUUCUCUCUCCACCGGUAACCCUCUGGGUCCAUCUUGCAACGAGUACGUUCCGAGCCCUUGAAUAUUUUCCUAUCAAGUGCUGAACUCUACCAGCUAAAGUGUGAAAAACUGCACGAAUGGACGCUUUUAAGCAUUCGUUUUUUUCCCCUAAGCAUUAGAAAAAACAUGCAGCGUUAAGUGUAAUACGCGCACACAACCCAAUCCAUAAUUGGAAGAUUGCCCUUUAUUGGGCCUUCAUUGUGUGCCAGGCACUGGGUUAGUCUCUGGGUAUAUACAUUGGUCAUUAAACAAAUUGAGCAGUUGGGGGAUGCACUGUAUAAAGUUACGGACGACAUGGACCCUAUGCUCCUCAACAGGAUUGCCAGAUUAAAUACGGGACAACAUGGACCCUAUGCUCCUCAACAGGAUUGCCAGAUUAAAUACGGGACUUCCAGUAAACUUUGAAUUUCAGAUAAAGAAUAAAUAUUUUCAGUAUAUCCUUUGAAGCACAUAAAACAUACUUAUAAAAAUUAUUUUCUGAAAUGCAAAUUUUACUGGACGUCUUUUCUUUUUAUUUGCUAAAUAUGGCCCUCCUACCCCGGUAGCUAUGAGUCGGAAUCGACUCGAUGGCACUGGGUUACCCCUGUAGCUUCAAGUUUAGCAAGACAGUGAAGAGGUACUCAAAUAGUAAUGCUGGAUAGAAAAUAGCAGAUACAAAUAAAAUAUCAUGGAGAAUUCAGAAUAGGCAUAAAUCAUUCUGGUGGAGGACAAUAUUGGGGCUUGUAUCCUGAGAAUGGUGUUCUGCUAGAGGCUGCACCUUAAAGGUCGGAGAGAAUUAAGACUUGGUGUAUAGGAAGGAAGGUUUCAAGGUAAAGAGAACAAAAUCAGCAAAGGCAUAGAGAUGGGAGAGUCCAAAGUUUGUUGGAGAAAUAGUAAAUAGUUCAGAAUAACUGGAGUCUAGUAUAAUUAAAGAUAAGAGCACCUAAGGAAAGAAGACUUUUGCUAAAGGGUUGAGGGUCUUUUCCCAGCAGUAAAAUCAAACCAAACCCGUUCUCGAGUCAAGUCUGACUCAUAGUGACCCUACAGGACAGAGAAGAACGGCCCCAUAGGGUUUCCAAGGAGUGGCUGGAGAUUUGAACUGCCAGUCUUUUGGAUAGCAGCCGUAGCUCUUAGCCACUAUGCCACCAGCAGUUGUGCCUCUGAAACUGUAUAUGUAAUUCAGUGGGAACCUUGUUAAGAUGUAGUUGCUGAAUAAGUCUGAGUUGUUAGGUGCCGUUAUGUUGAUUUUUGACAGAGUAGAACUGCCCAUUGGGGUUUCCUAGGCUGUAAUCUUUACAGAAGCAGAUUGCCAUGCCUUUCUCCUGUGGAAUCGCUCUGGGGUAGGGCUGGAGAGUUUGCUAUUGUAAAAAGCUCCCAAGUGGUGUCAAUGUUGCUAGUCUGGAGAUCACACUCUGAGUAGCAAGGCCUUACAGUUUAGAAAGGAGUCAGGACUUUUUUUCAGCUGAGAAGCUGUUUACAAAAGUUGCAGUGGCAUGACAUGAUCAGAAAUAUGUCUAACAAAAUGAAUCUGACGGGUGCAUGUAAAAAACACGUGUGAGAGUAUCUUAAGGAGUUCAAAUAACUAUUCAGAGGCAAGACGCUAUCAUUAAGUAAUUUGCUGAGUCUUCAUAGCGUAGGGAUCACUGUUACCUGUGGUUGCAAAACAAACUGAGGCCGUGCUAUCAAGAGGCUUACCAUCUCUUUGGGGAGAGAACAGGACAAGGAAGUAUGCUGACCCCUACAGGGAAAAACAGGUGUCCUGUUGAGGAUAAAAGGUGCAGAGAAGACCUGAGAGGGUGUAAAUCACACAGUUUGGCCAAGGACCUCACAGGAUGUAAAUAAAGAACAUGUUUACUCUUUUAUAGUUUACAAGGAUUUCUUACUGCAACCUCAUGAAGUAAGGUGUUCAUCAAUAUUGUUAGAACUGUUUUUCGAAGAAAAAACUAAUGUAUCCAAGUUGCACAGCUCCUAAGUGACAAAGCUGGGAUUGGAACCCAGGUAUUUUAUUCCAUAUCCCACGUUCUUUCCACUGUAAGAUCUUUCUUUCUCUCCCUAAGGUCUGAGCACUUUCCCCCAAACGGAACUUGGUGAGGUGAUUACUCACCUCUCCCAUCAGUUCUGUUCACCACCACCUGACACAUCAACAGUACUUCUGGGGUUUCUGGUUUUGUUUAGCAACACCUCCUAGCAAUAAUCUGUACAAACAAGUACUCAGUAAAUGUUGCUUGAUUUGUUGCUUGUUUAGCUGGUUGUCCUCUUCCUCUGGAAACCUCAUCCAAAUCUGGUAAUGGUUUGCAACAGUUUGUCCGAGCAUGUUUACAGUUGUAACCUUGGUGAUAGUUUACAUGUGGCUUCCCAUGAUGACACAACCAGCAGUUUUGUCUAAUUCCUGAUAAUCCUUUCAGUAACCUCCCAAUACCACCCUCUUGAUACAGUUAAAAGGAAUAAAAUUCACAUAACCUAGGAAUUGGGGAAGAUUUUAAGCAGUCGUGUAAAACUGAUCUAAAUACGGGAUGACCAUUAUGUGACUGCAGGGAGAGAUAUACUGGUAUUCUGGAUAAUCAGUUGUUUAAUGAUAAAGAGAAAAAGAACAAAGUAUUUCUCUCACAUACGAUUUACCUACUAAGUGAGAACUUGCUACCCUUUUCUUAUUUAAUUUCCAAACUCACCUACCUUCUACUUAUUAGUGGUGUGACUUUGGCCUUUACGGUUAACUGCACCAGAACCUGAUCUUUUCUUUCUUUCUUUCUCUCUCUCCGUCUCCCUCUUUCUUUCAAGUUUUUUCUUCUAUAAUGCUUGUUUUGAAGUCUCAUGCGCACUUCUUAACCUGUUUUCUUGUGGAUGUGCUCUGCAUCCUUCAUGAGAUUUUAAGUUUGCCAAGGUCAGAGUCUACCUAAUUUCACAGAAUCACAGUUUUAUUAAUCCCACAUAUGUGGGUUCAUCUUCAAUCCAUGACUAUUUCUUUUUUUCUCCUUUUUAUCCGCCUCCUGUGGUACCAUUAACUGAUUUCCAAGGAGUGGCUGAGUUCUUAACCACUGCGUCACCAGGGCUGCCUAUAAAGAUUCAAAAAAAAAACAACCAAACCCAGUGCCCUCGAGUCGAUUCCGACUCAUAGCAACCCUAUAGGACAGAGUAGAACUGCCCCAUAGGGUUUCCAAGGCGCGCCUGGCGGAUUCAAACUGCCGACCCUUUGAUUAGCAGCUGUAGCACUUAACCACUACGCCACCAGAGUUUCCAUGUCCUAUAAAGAUUACAGCCUUGGAAGCCCUAUGGGGCAGCUCUACUCUGUCUUACAGGGCUGCUAUGAGUCAGAAUCGACAGCUAUGGGUUUAGUUUUGGGUUUUAUGUGGUACCAAGGAGCCCUGGUGGCUAAAUUGUCAAGCUUUUGGCUGCUAACCAAAAGGUAGCCGGUUUGAACCUACCAGCCACUCUGUGGGAACGAAGACCUGGUGAUCUGCCUCUGUAAAGAUUUCAGCCUAGGAAACCCUAUGGGGCAGCUCUACUCUGUCAUGUAGGGUCGCUAUGAGUCAGAAUUGACUCAGUGGCAUACAGCAACAGCAAUAUUGUACCUAAUUAAAAAAUAUUUAUGGAAUGAACUAAUGAGUAUAAUCUCUUUGAAUAGUCUUUUAAACAACAUGGAUAGAGAAUUUUAGACUAAUGUCUGACUUUUUAAAAAAUCUCCCUUUAUGGAAGCAUGAAUGAAAACUUAAUUCAGGCUCUUGACCUGGAAAGGUGAAGCAGCACAAGGGACAAAUUUGCUGGCAAUAAGUGAGAAGACAGAUCUGAUGUCUUUUAUUUUUUACCUUUAAUAUCUGAUAGUGCUUGUCACUCUCAUUUGCACUCAGUAAUUAUAAUGUAGCAGAACAACAAGUGUGUCCUCUGUGUUUCCCCAAGCCCUACCAACCUACAAUAAUUAUUUCUCCAACUCAGGUCUAAUCAAAGAAUUGCAGGAAUACCUGCCCCAAUUCCUUACUCUUGGCUCUUUGGGGGUGCCGCAGUCAUUCAUGUACAUUCAGAAAUGCUUACUCUGCCGCCUUCCUCCUUCCUCUGACAUCGACUUAUAUCACCUCUGCCACUUCCUAUCUCAUCAGACCUCUCCCAGUGUUGCAUCUCUGACAUCUCCCCUGGCGCUCCCUCCCAGGACGUAUGACUCAGUGCUCAUGUCACCACAUCCUCUCCUUCUUGUGACAUUAACUGCAUCCAUCACAGGUAGGAGCCCUGGACCAUCCCCAGCCACUGUCCCAGGCUCUGUGGUGGGGCACUCGUUUUUUCUCCAGUCUUCUUCUGUAAGCUCUUUCUCAUGGACAAGCUGUAGCAUAUCCCCUCAGAUCUCUUUUACUGUUUCUGUGCUUCACAGCCUUUUGGCCCCCACUUAACAGUACCUGCAGUUAGUCUUUGGAGAAUUGCUCUCUUGUUACUGGGGCUGCUUUGCUAAACCCAGAGCUGGGAGCUUAGGUCCCCUGGGGCAGUUCUUAAGCAAUGACUGUCAGAUGCUAAAGUAGGAAAGCUAGUUCCCUAGCCUCAAAUCAGGAUACCUCUGAGAUAUAAUUUAUAUUCCAGAUUUCCCCUGAGGAAGUAGGCCAAUCUCAACUUUAUUUGUCUUUUUCCCAUACCCUUUUAUGUUUGUCUGUUCCCUUAUUCUGGUUUCUCCCGGGAAAAUUUUCUUCAUCUCAGGGUCUGUUUCUGUAUGUAAGACAAGCACCUAUGUCAUUCCAUUUUGCAAUAUAUUAUAGCAGCCAUCUUCCUGAAGUGGUGAAAGUACCCUCCAUUCUCAUUUGUAUUAUAUUCUGUCAUAAUUUUUUAAGUCAAGGUUUUUAGGUUGUAAGUGACAGAAAUUUGCAUUGCCAAAACAAAAACAAAGGAAAGAAAAGAAGGAAGGAAAGAUGGAAGGAAGGAAGGAGGAAGGGAAAAAGGGAGGGAGGGAAGGUGAGAGGGAAGGGAGGAAGGAGGAAGGAAAGGAAGAAAGGAAUGAAGAGAAAAUGUGUUGGGUGGCAUAACUAAAAAUUUCACAAAGAGGAAUUGCAGGCAUGGCUAGAUUCUGGGGAUCAAGCUUAAUUGCAGGACUUGUUUUCUCUCCAUCAUUUAAAUGUAUUUUCUUUUGAACUGGCUUCACUCACAGGCAGGAAUAGCUUUUUAAGACCACAACCCUAGUAAAAGAGCCCUUCACUUUCUUAAUACUUCCCUCAAAUCUCCCAAACUGACUCUAACUGGGUCAGUUUGGGUCAUAUGUACCCUUGAACCACUCACAGUGGCCAAAGAAAUGAAUUACAGUGAUUGGCCAGAUCUAGGCCCCAUGCCUAUCUCAAGUCAAACCCCACAGAUUGAGAAUGCGGGACAGGUAUUUCUCCAAAGGGAAACUGAGUUGAGGUGUGUUGCCAAAAGCAGGGGAAGUGGAAACUAGGUGAAUGGGGGAAAAAAAUGUCUUCUAAAACAUUCUACUUUUUAUUCUCAUUUUCUUACAGAGGCUUGAUCUUGGCCAUCAGUUUUUCUCCCUAGGAGAGUGGAUGUGGGCUGAAUCCAAUUGGUGUUAUUCUGGAGUCAAAACAGUUCCUUUCCUUUCACGAUUGUAAGCAGAAUAGUGAUCUCCCAAAGAUGUCUAUGUCCUAAUUCCAGGAACCUGUGAAUAUGUUAGGUUACAUGGCAAAGGAGAAUUAGAGUAGCAGAUGUAGGUGGAGCCAAGAUGGGGGAACAGACAGAUGCUUCCAGCCAGCCCCCUUUACAACAAAAACCCGAAAAAAUAAGUGAAACGAGUAUAUUUGUGACAAGCUCGGAGCCCUGAGUUUCAAAGGCAAGCUUAGAAAACGAAUUGAGGGGCAGGGGGAGAAAGAGACCGUUCAGAAGCGGAGAGGACUUACCGGACCUGAAUCAUGGGGAGCACUCAGGCAUGAUUCCUGGAGCACCGGCAGCAGGCUGGUACUAGUGUCGGGCCGCAGUUUCCUCGGGGAGAAGAAGCCAGCCACACAGCCUACUCACACCUCCAGAACCUGAGAAGAACGGCAUUCUCGGCAAAAGCUAAGUACUUGCAUAUAUUUUACCAUGCCCCCCCACCCCCAAGCCAGCUUCAGUGGCUGAAUUCCCUGGGCCUGAGAUAGGCAAAGUUGAGCACCUAGAGCCAUCCUCCUGGCUUUGGGGAAGGAAAAAAUUUGCAAUUCCGGGAAAAGAUAAUUUUCUAGCUCCACUAACUGGGGGAGCUCAGGACAGAAGCGGCUCCUUUCUGGGCACAAACCAUCCGUGGACUUUGAGCACCUUCCCCUUCUGCAUGGACUUGUGUGGGCCUAUUUUGGGAGAAUAGGCCCUUUUGGCAAACUCCAACCAUUUCAGCUGUGUGGUGGAGACGUGGGUGUUUGAUGUUUGACAUUGCUUUGCCUAUUAAACAAGGUCCUCACCUACCCAUAUCAGGGACCUAAGGACUGGUAGCUCCACUCAGGUCACCCAACCACCCUCAACAGGGGUCCAAAGAUAACUGGUACCUUCCAGUCCUUACAACCAAAAAUUUUGGGUGCCCAUGGUCUGUCUGCAGAACCCACCCACCUGUACGCUCUAGGGAACAGGGAUGUGCUUUCCUCAGAGACACUUGAGGGUCAGUUCUCAGCCCCCUGCCUUGUUCAGACCGUGACCCCCUGCUGCAAUCAGAUACUGGUAUAUACACCAAUCACCCCUGCACCUCUAAGACUGUAGGACAGAGCCAGUACCACACUUGAUGAUCAGCUACCUGGAAACCUGAGCUGAAUUCAUACAAAAAAACUGAAUGGACUCCUAGACUGAUAUACCUGAAAACAGCUCUAGCCAUCUGGGGACAGGAUGUCAGAGCUCCAAAGGCUCAAGCUAGCUCACUCAAGCAACCCAUAGGGGUAUACCAAAAUAAAACAAAGCAAGAAGCUACGACGCAGUAAGCAAGCAUAAACUAAUAUAAUAAGUUAUAGAUGGCUUGGAGACAACAGUCAAUAUGAAGUCACUUAAAGAAACAGACCAUGAUCACCUCAACAAGCUCUCAAAACAAAGAAUCCAGGGAUCUUCUAGAUGAAAGUGCAUUCCUGGAAUUACCAGAGCCAGAAUACAAAAGUUUAAUAUACAGAACCCUUAAAGACAUCAGGAAGGAAAUGAGGCAAUACACAGAACAAGCCAAGGAACGCACAGAUAAAGCAAUUGAAGAAAUUAGAAAGAUUAUUCAGGAACAUAAUGAAAAGUUUAAUAAGCUGGAAAAAUCCAUAGAUAGGCAGCAAUCAGAAAUUCAGAAGAUUAACAAUAAAAUUACAGAAGUAGACAACUCAGUAGAAAGCCAGAGGAGCAGAAUUGAGCAAGUAGAAGCUAGAAUUUCUGAACUCGAAGAUAAAUCACUUGGCACUAAUAUAUUUGAAGAAAAAUCAGAUAAAAGAAUUAAAAAAAUGAAGAAAACUUAAGAAUCAUGUGGGACUCUAUCAAGAGAAAUAACCUACGAGUGAUUGGAGUACCAGAACAGGGAGGGAUAACAGACAAUAUUGAGAGAAUUGUUGAAGAUUUUUUGGCAGAAAACUUCCCUGGUAUCGUGAAAGAUGAGAAGAUACCUAUCCAAGAUGUUCAUUGAACUCCACAUAAGGUAGAGCUUAAAAGAAAGUCACCAAGACAUAAUCAAACUUGCCAAAACCAAAGAUAAAGAGAGAAUUAUAAGAGCAGUGAGGGAUAAACAAAAAAUCACCUACAAAGGAGAGCCAAUAAGAAUAAGCUCGGACUACUUGGCAGAAACCAUGCAGGCAAGAAGGCAAUGGUAUGACAUAUUUUAAAAAAUUGAAGGAAAAAAAUUGCCUGCCAAGAAUCAUAUAUCCAGCAAAACUGUCUCUUAAAUAUGAAGGUGAAAUUAAGACAUUUCCAGAUAAACACAAGUUGAGGGAAUUUGUAAAAACCAAACCAAAACUACAAGAAAUACUAGAGUAGCAGAUGUAAUUAAGAUUACUAAUCAGCUGACUUUAGGGAGAGUAACCUGAAUUAGCUGGGCAGGUCCAUCCAGUGUAAUAACAAUCAUCCUAAAAUAUGGAAGAGAGAGGCAGAAGGAUCAGUGGCAAAGUGUGAUGUGAGAGAAGUUGUUGGCCGGCCAUUGCUGACUUUAAAGAUCAAAGGGAGCCAUAAACUAAGGAAUGUGGAAAGACUCUAGAAACUGGAAAAGGCAAGCAAACAUAUUCUCCUCUAGAACCUCUAGAAGGAACACAGCACUGGUGACAAAUUGAUUUUAGCCCAGUGAAACUCAUUUUCGGUUUCAUCCUAUAGAAAUGUAAGAUGAUAAAUUUGUGUUGUUUUAGAACAAUAAGUUUUAGUGUUUGUUAUGGUAAUUUGUUACGGCAGCCACAGCAAACCAAUACAAUGAUCAACCAUCGUCCUCUUAAAAAGUUUGUGUACAUUGACCCUUCUCUUGAUAUUAAUGUCUUUCCAUGAACACUAUCUUUUACUUAUAGCUCUUUGGGGUUAUAGACUGUAUCGUAUUCAUGGUUAUAUUUUGACACUAAGAAAGAGGAUCAUUAGGUGAGUAUAAGUAUUUGUUAAAUUGUAAAGAUUGUAAAGAUAUAGAACUGGUUCGUCAUGAAAAGAGAUUCCUGUAAAACUGUCUCGCUGGUGCUUCAGACUUGACUGGAAAUGAUAGAAUUAAGUGUCAAAGUUAGGGUCAUAGAAAGGACCUUGUAGGUACAUAGCUUACACCUAUGCUGAGUAUGCAGUGCUGCUGUAACAUAAAUACAGAAAUACCACAAGUAGGUGGCUUUAAUGAACAAAUAUUUAUAUCUCUUGUUGUUGUGGUCGUUGGGUGCUGUUGAGUCCGCUCUGACUCGUAAUGACUCUACGUACAAAAUGAAACACUGCCCAGUCCUGCACCAUUCUCACAGUCAUUUUUAUGCUUGAGCCCAUUGUUUCAGCCACGGUGUCAGUCCAUCUCAUUCAGGGUCUUCCUCUUUUUGGCUGACCCUCUACCAAGCAUCAUGGCCUUCUCCAGGGACUGAUCCCUCCUGAUAACAUGUCCAAAGUAUGUGAGAUGAAGUCUUGCCAUCUUUGCUUCUAAGGAGCAUUCUGGCUGUACUGCCAAGACAAAUUUGUUCAUUCUUUUGGCAGUCCAUGGUGUAUUCAAUAUUCUUCGCCAGCAUCAUAACUCAAAGGCAUCAAUUCUUUUUUGGGCUUCCUUAUUCAUUGUCUAGCUUUCUAGAAGGCUAGAAGUCCAUAUUCAGGGCACCGACCCUAAGAGAAGGCUCUUUCUCUGUUGGCUCUGGGAGCAGAUACUUAUCUAAGCUCUGUAACUCCAGUCUUAAACUCAGUAGCUUGUUUAAGACUCCACGUGGCAUAUAUCUUCCCCUUUUUUGUGUGUUUGCUUCUGUGAGCCUGAUCUGCUCUUUUUAUAUCUCAAAAGUGAGUAGAUUUAAGACAUACCCUACACUGAUAUGGCCUUUUUAACAUAACAAAGAAAACCCUAUUCCCAAAUGUGAUUACAUUCACAGAUAUAGGGGUUAGCAUUCUAGCACAUAUUUUGGGGGGACACAAUUCAAUCCUUAACACUGUCCGGAACAGUAGGAAUAGCAAUUAGCACUUGAAAUGUGGCUGGUCCAAACUGAGAUAUGCUUAAAUGUAAAAAUACACAACAAAUACCAAAGAUUUCAUAUGAAACAAAAAGAAUGUAAAUAUAUCAUUAGGAAUAUUUUAUGUCGAUGGCAUGCUGAAAUAAUAUUUUAGGUACUGAGUUAAAUAAAAUAUGUUUAUUUUUACUUUUUUUUAAUGUGGCUCCUAGAAAAUUUAUAAUUACAUAUGCCACUUGCAUUUGUUACUCACAUUAUAUUUCUAUUAGACAGUAAUUGCUUGGAUCCUUCUUUAGGAACUUCUACUAUAUUAUAACUUGGAAGUACUUAGUUCAAAUGUCCAAAGGAGUCACACCAGGGGUUCUCAGCCUUUAUGCACAUUAAAAUCCUCUGAGAAACUUUGUGAACAAUGGUGUUACCAAGGCUCCAUCUCCAGAGAUUCUGAUUCAAUUGGCCUGGAGUAAGCCCAGGAAAUCAAUUGCUGUAACACUAAUUUAAUGACUGAAAAUGAAGAAUACAUUUUUUCUCAUCAUUUGAAACCUAAAGAAAUUGGAAAAAAAAAGAACAAAUUGAAGGAGUCAAGCCAGUUUUAAACACACACGCACGCAUGCACAUCCCCCCAUAUAUGAUGCAUGCUGUAAUAUCUAACUGUUAAAGGAUCGAUCAUCCUUCAUGUACUCAUAGUAUAUAUUAUGAUAUAUAUUUUAUCACUUUAAAUAUUUGAGGAAUAACAGGCUAAAACAAGAUCUAUUGGACUGCCUGAGCAUUUACAUCAUGCUAAAAAACCAAAACCAAACCUGUUGCUGUUGAGUCACAGCGACCCUAUAGGGCAGAGUAGAACUGCCCCCACAGGGUUUCCAAGGCUGUAAUCUUUACAGAAGCAGAAUGCCACGUCUUUCUCCUGCAGAGCAGCUGGCAGGUUAGAACUGCUGACCCGAGUGCUUAACCACUGCGCUACUGGGCUCCCUAUACAUGAUAACAUCUUACAGAUAAACAUGGGGCAUCAUUUGUUCAAUACGAAAUGAAUUGAACAAGUUCCCCACAGUAUACAAGCAGAUUUAGGGAAUAUAAGAGUCGUAGAAACAGACUGUGUCCUGAAAAAGCUAACAGCUAUAGUUUAGAACACUUUUCUACAACUAUAUAAGCUCAAAGUAAGAAGGAGGCUGUGAAAGUUAGGGAGGGAUCAGAGGGUAGUAGUUGUGGCCAGAAGGGCUUUCUGGAGAAGGUACAUUAAAUUCACUUGGAAGAUGGAAUAUUUAGGGAUUGGUAGAAAAGAGAACCCCACACAUCUGUCAGUUUUGUCAUACCGUGGUGGCUUGCGUGUUGCUGUGAUGCUGGAAGCAAGGAUCUUGAGACUUUGACGAACUUUGGACAUGUUAUUAGGAGGGACCAGUCCCUGGAGAAAGACAUCAUGCUUAGUAAAGUUGAGGGUCAGUGGAAAAGAAGACCCUUAAUGAAAAAGAUUGACCCAGUGGCUGCAACAAUGGGCUCAAUCAUAAAAAAGAUUGUGAGGAUGGCACAGGACCGGGCAAUAUUCCAUUCUGUUGUAUGGUUGCUAGGAGUUGGAACUGACUAGAUAGCACUUAAAAACAACAGAAAAGAGAAAUGCAGGAGAGAGCAGGAUGAACAAGGGCACAGGGACAGGAAUAAGUCAGAUAUUUAUGGACAGCGCAUGUGUUUUUCUCCUUUUCCCUGUCUGCCAAUUUAAGAACUAAUCCCCAGUUUCUUAUAGGCAGAGAAAACUUCCCCAAGGGCUGAGGUUCAGGGCAGGGUGAAAUUAUUUUCUGGCAAGGUAUGGCUCCAUUUCUGGGAGUGACUGAGUUAUUAUGAAACGAGUUGUAAGACCAGGAACAUGGGAGCAGCAAUAGAAUAGAGAGUAGGCUAUGAGAAGGGGCACUUUGGGGCUCCAGAUGGGGAAGGUAGGAGGCCAGUUAUCACACCUGGAGAGCUUCGUUAGGUUGGACUAGCUGCAAGCAUGAUGUUAUGGAUUGAAUUAGGCCCCCCCGCCCCCGAAACGUGUGUUGGAAUCCUGGCCCCUAUACCUGUGGAUGUAAUCCUGUUUGGAAAUAGGGUUUUCUUUGUUAUAGCAAUGCCAGUGUAGGGUGUGUCCUAAACCUAAUCACUUCUGAGUUAUAAAAAGAGCAGUUGAGACACAGAUGCAUGUACAAACUGGGGAAGACAAAUGCCACUUGAGGCUCGCCAAGGAACCAAGCAACAUCGGGACUACCAGCAUGGAAGGAAUCGAUAUGGUUGAGACCCUAAUUUGGACUUGUUAGCCUCCAGAACUGUGAGAAAAUAAACUUCUGUUCUUUAAAAUCAUCCAUCUAGGGUAUCUCUGUUACAGCAGCACUAGGAAACUAAGGCACAUGGCUUGAGGAUAACCAAAACACAAAAACCAAACUCGUUGCCGUUGAGUUGAUUCUGACUCAGGUCGACCCUAUAGGACAGAGUAGAACUGCCCCAUAGGGUUUCUAAGCAAUUGGUGGAUUUGAACGCUGACCUUUUGGUUAGCAGCUGUGCUCUUAACCACUAUGCCACUGGAGCUCAGACUUGAGGAUAAGCCCCAAAAUACUGAUUUGGAAGGACGUAUGUCUAUUCUUGCCUCAAUAAGAUUAGGCUUGGAAAUAGAGUAGGGCUAAUUCUGCAGAUUAAACAUGCAGAGGAAGUAGAGCAGAGUUAGGAACUUACCUAAAUUGAGCUUGAAGCUGUGCCAAACAGAGGAGAGAAAAUUUAAAACUAUAGGACAUAAUCCAUGUACUAAUCUGUAUUUCAGUUGGGAAAGAUAUAAAAAGAUAAUGUCACAAAUCGAUAUGUAUUAAGUGCAAAAUAAAUGACCCAACUGAGAAGUAUUUUCUUUAUACACAUGAGAUUAGAUGCAACAUUUUGAAAUAAUGGAGGAAAGAAGGAUAAGCCUUAGAUGAAAGGAGAAAAUAUGUUGAGGGCUAUGGUAGUCUUUUAAAUUCUGCUAGUCUUAUGUGUUUCUUAAUAAUCAGCCGCACUGCCAAUCUUAUGGCUGAGUGUGAAUUUUAAGGCAUAUUACAGUGUUAAACUACUAAUAUUUAUAUAAUUCUUUAUACUUCCAGAAAAAAAUCGAGAUCUAAAGAUGAAUGAACAUAUAUUUCCCUCCAUGAGGUUAAUGUCAACCACUUUUUAGAAGAAUUGGCUUAUUUUUUUAGGAAAGUUUUCUAAUUUCACAAUAUUUGACAUAGUAGGACAAAGUAAGGGACUAGUAUAAAGAGGAACGUAUUAAAGCAGACUGUCUUGAGUGGUGUUGAAGAAAGAGAUGUUGGCCUCUUUGGGAGUCGUUUCCCUUUGUGAGAAGGCUUCAUAUUUUCAGUCUAACAUUUCUAUAUUUUAACCCACAGGAGAAUUAGCUGUGUGACUUCCGUGAAUUACCGAGUCUUGAUUUCAUCAUCUGUUAAAAAAGAAGCUGUAGUAUCUGCUUCAUUGUAUUUUAUAAGACUAAAAUUAUGUAUAAAUGUUGCAUACUUUAUAAACAUAUAGAGAGUUGCUUUUAAAUUCAAAGUCAGAAGGAAAUUGAAUCCUAUUUGUUCACCUACAUUGUGAUAACAGUAAUGAAUAAAUAAAAUGUCUCCACAAAUAUUUAAGUUUUUAUUUAAAUUAAACAUUAAAAAUAGAUUUCCCACAGUUUGCUUUGAAGUGUCCUAUCUUGUACCAUAUUUUUAUGCAAAUAACGCAUGGCUUCUAUGGUUUGUUUGCCAACUGAGCCCUCCCCCCUCAAGGUAUUUUUGUAUACACACUAUGCUAAUUUUUUUUUUUUCAAAGCAACAUGUAAAAAACAUUGUCAUCACAGCCCUUAGGAAAAUAUGGGGCCGGGGGAGGGUGUGGUUGGCAAACAAACGUGGAAGGUGUGUGUUAUUUUUGUAAAAAUACAGUAAUUGUCAUGGAUAAAAAGGCCUUACGAAACAGAAGAGAAAGUAUUGACCUAGAAUAUCCAUAUUUUAGGGCUGCUUUUUUCAUUUAAAAAGUCCAGUGACUUUGGAAAAGUUUUUCAGCUUUUCAUCUAAUUUAAAUUUUGUGUGAAGCUUGCGGGAGAUAAUGUAUGAAAGAUACUUUGUAAAAUAAAACAGUGCCAAAUGAAUGUAAAGAAAUAUCAUUAAAGUACAUUGUGGUUGUGACAUCAGCAAUCUGUCACUCAUUUUCUUAUGGUUGUUGUCUCUAGUGUAGCUGUCUAAUACAUUUAUUGAGCUCCUACUAUGUAUUAACACUCUGCUAAUCAUCAGAAAUGUAGCAAUGAACAAAACAGACAUGGUCCCUGCCUUCAUAGAAUUUACUGAGACACAGAUAAUAAAUAAUCAUCCAAAUAACUAUAUAAUUACAAUUUUAGUAAGUACAAAGAAGGAAAAGUACAUAUGUUGGGAAAUAAUUCUCAAUGGGUGUCUCAUAUUUCUGUGUAUAUUGUAAACAGAACUGACUACCCUUUGUUCUGGACUAUCUUUUUAAGGAAGUUUUCAUAGCAGACAACCCUGAAAGAAAUAGCUUUUCCCUCCAAAACAAAGCACAAGCAUGUUUACUGACCAUUAUAAAAGACUCAGGUCCUGAAGCUCAGUGUUUCUCUCUCGUAAUACACCCCACUGUAUGUGCAGGCUUCCGUAUGACUGUCUAUGUUGCUUAUGGGGCUUGGAAAAAAAACCACUGCCGUCGAGUCGAUUCCUAACUCAUAGUAACCCUAGCUUGGAGAGAAGGAAAACUAACACAAAUAUGCUGAUGCUUCUGAUACUUGAUGUAUUGUGAGUAAUAGAGUUCUUUGUCUCUGCCACAGGGCCUGUUUUCUGCCAGCAUCCAUGAAACUGUAGCAGGCUAACUUACUGAUUUCAAAGUAGGGCAGAAUCGCAGACGCAGUAUAAGAGGAGAUCUACCCUGUGCUCCAAACUCACAUAUUCAAUUGUCUUCUUGACACAUCCUCUUAGAUAGCUUAUACCAAAAAACCAAACCCACUGCCAUCAAGUCGAUUCUGACUCAUAGCGACCCUACAGGACAGAGUAGAACUGCCCCGUAGAGUUUCCAAGGAGCGCCUGGCAGAUUUGAACUGUUGACCUUUUGGUUAGCAGCCAUAGCAUUUAACCGCUACACCACCAGGGUUUCCAGAUAGUUUAUAGGCAUCUCAAACAAAGUGUUCAAACCUUGAAAGAUUUUUGGUUACUUAAGACUUUUGCUCUCUUAGGAUCCCUGCUAUGUUAUUACUGUCUGUGUCUCCAGUUCAAACUAGCAAGAAGGAGAAUCUGAUUGGUAGAAUCAGUACCCAUCAUCUCUGCUAGGCAAAGAUCUCAUCCCACGUGGCCUAAUAAUCUACUAUUAGAUAUAUUUUUCUCAAUAAAUGAAUAAUAAAUGACACCUACUAUGAGGUAACAUUCUGAAAAUAUUUUUUGAUGUUAAAAAUAUAUCUUUAUACUUGAAAAGUUUAUAAACUACCCUGUUAUACAUAUUGUUUCAAUGUUGGUAAUCCUUAAAGUAUCUUUGAUGAUUUUGAAUGCUAAAUUUAUCUAUGGAGAUAUGUUGAAUGUAUUCAGUACUGCUUCAGAUAAACUUUAUUCUGUUUAUUAGAAUCACUUUAUGCUACUGUAAAUCACCCUACAUUUUAUUGUGUUUGUCUUCACAUAUAAAAUCCUAUUGUGAGGUGAACAGGGAGUUUUGAGGAAGUUAAAAGUCUGUGCAUUCAGGACUCAUACAUGUGUCUUUUGACUGCACAUUCAGAAUUCUUUGCAUUGGCAUGCAGAGCCUGCUGGGAGACAAGAAGAUUCUGAGGCUUCCCCUUGGCUGGGCUGGACAAGAAGGCUGGGAGCCUUGGGCAUGGAAACUGGAUAAGUAGAGGGAAAAGAACAAGCAGGAAGUGGGAAAAGGCAGUUUUUUUUCUCCCUCAGCAGCUCACUGAAAAGAGAAACUAGGUUUCAUCAGCAGAGUGAGUGAAACUGCGGGGAAGCCAGAAUCUCAGUGGUUACGGCAAACCUCUUGCUGGUGCAGGCAGAGGUGCCAGCAGCCAGAAAGGUCUUUAACUCCAGGUUGACAUGAGUCCUAGCCACCUGGGAAAUCAUGUCCAAACACUGGGAGAUGUUUCUCAACCUGUCUCCAAGAUACAGAGUGAAAAACACCAAAACCCAAAUUCCUUGUCACCGAGUUGAUUCCGACUCAUAGCGACCCUAUAGGACAGAGUAGAACUGCCCCAUAGAGCUUCCAAGGGGUGCCUGCUGGAUUCGAAUGGCCGACCUUUUGGUUAGCAGCCGUAGCACCUAACCACUACAUCACCAGGGUUUCCAUACAGAGUGAAGGAUGGUGGAAUAUUGGAGGUAAGAUGACGACUAAAAUGAAGGUCGGGCAUGCCCCAUUGUAUUUUACAGUCUACCUUUAAAAAGGUUUCCUCUAAAAGUGCUAUGAAGAGCAUAAACAGGAGAAUGAGAUGGUGACUAGGGGAGACCAGGGAAGGCUUCUCUGAAGAGAUGGCAUUUAAGCUGAGGCCUGAUAAGUGAAAAUGAGCCAGCCAUGUGAUGGGGAUUGGGAAUAGCUUGCCAGGAAGAAGGAAAGAAAUACAAAAUGAAGAACUGGGUUAGGUUCUGCUUUAACUUUGGUAGUACUAAGUAACUUUCCCUUAUAGCUACUAUACAAGUGGAAAAGUGAACAGUUGUAAAAAUGUGUUAUAUGUUGGAGAAAUGGGUAGAAUUUGGUGUACUUGGACAAAAAUAUGCAAUAAGGUCACUUGUGACCUUGUCUUAGUCAACAUUCAAUGAUAUUUUCUUAUGCCUUAUUUUGUUUAAUUUCUACCAAACACAUUUCUUACAUCUUUCCUUCUUCCAGACACUUCUUUUCCACUUUGUUUUCCCCUGUAAGGAGCCGUAGAAAUUAUCUAGACCAGCUGUUUCCAAACCUGACUACAAUUUACAAUUACCUGGGGAUCUUGUUAAACAAAGACUCAUCAGGUCUUGGGCAGGGUACAGGCAUCUGCAUUUUGAUGCACUCCAUGUGAUUCCAGUGCAGCAGGUUUAGCACCAUAAUGUUUACCAGUGAUUCCCAGACUAUUAAGUAGAACAUUGGUUCCAGGAGAAGUCAUCAGUCCCCCAUGAGUAAAGGAUUAUCUUAUUAAAUAAUCUUGAGAAACUGUCUCAAAUUCUCCUCUUGGCAUUUCACAACCCAUACUAGGAUAUCAAAAACUCAAGGAAGUAGUGAUCUAUAAAAGAAUCUUUACAUUUCAUUUAACAACUAAACAAAUGGACUCAUUAGUGAAAGAAAGAUGUUUUUCUUAGCUUCGCCUACAACAAACCAGUUGCCAUUGAGUUGACUUCCAACUCAUGGUGACCACGUGUGUGUCAGAGUAGAACUGUGCUCCAUAGGGUUUCCAAUGGCUGUCUUUUUUGGAAGUAAACCUCCAGGUCUUUCUUCCAAGGUGCCUCUGGGUGUACUCAAACCUCCAGCCUUUCAGUUAACCAUUUAUACCACCCAGGAGCUCCCUCACCUAGAAUUGUUUUCCAUAAACAAUAGUAUAAAAAGCAUUGAUCUAGAAAACCUGCCUUAGUGAACACCCACAAAUAUAUAUUUUAAUUCUGUUAAGUGUAAUUCUGGGCAAAAUGCUACUUCAUUUAAGAAAACAGUCCCAGGGAAGGAAUCUAGUUCUACUUGCGGGUAAAGUUGUGACCAAAUCUCACAAAUGGCCCUGAACACCUUUCCCAAGCUGUUGACCUUUGCUCUUGUCUUUCCUCAGGUUCUAUCUAAAAACCGUAUGCUGACUCUCAAAUUUACAUUUCUAGAUCAGUUCCUGUCCCACACAUCUAGCUGUUUAUACAACACCUUCACUUGGAUGCCCUAGCCUGACUCUCCAAAGUAGAAAACAAAACUCAUGUUCCUAUCCAGUUUUUCAGUAAGGUUCCUCUCUUUUUUUUUUUUCUCUUUUUGACUUCCUCAUUUGUGUUGGUGAUGACCAUUGCCCUAGUUAUGUAAGCCUCAAAACCUUGUAGUAACCUUUGCUUCCUCAUCCCUGCAGGAGAUUCAAAUUCUGUUACCAAGCAUUGCUGAGUCCCUCAGAGCUGUUUCUCCCUGGCCGUUUUUACUGUUAGGGACUGUAGUUUUUUUUUACGUUACGUGUAGAAGAUUUCAGUUAUCUCCUGUUGGGAUUUUCACUGCAUGGGGUUUCUCUUCCCCCAUUUUACCUUGCUCCUCUGCCAUAUUAAGGCUCUACACCGUUUUCUAAUGAUCUUUCAGAUUAAGAGAUAUUUUCAAUAAAUAAGAUCCCCCAGUAACUAGUCCCUAGAAAUGGGACUAGUCUUUAGAAAUAAGCAAGUUUCUUCUUCACUGUUCUCUAAGCUGUGCUUUCUGUUCCUGUUAUACUUGACAUGCUUUGUGACACUGCUGUUUCUUCCCACUUCUCCCAAAACCCUUCCUUCUCACUCUUAAAUGAAAUCCACUUACACCAGUAGUUCUCAAAUAUCAGUGCCUGUAAGAAUUACCUGGAGAGCUUGUUAAAAUACAGAUUGCUGUACUCUACCCCCAGAGUUUCUUAUUUAGCACCAAAAAACCCCAAACCCAUUGCCAUCAGGUCGAAUCUGACUCAUAGUGACCCUACAGGACAAAGUAGAACUGCCCUAUAGGGUUUCCAAGGCUGUAAAUCUUCACGGAAGCCGACUGUCACAUUUUUCUCCUGCAGAGUGGCUGGUGGGUUUGAACUGCCAACCUUUUGUUUAGCAGCCAAGCAAGUAACUACUGUACCACCAGGGCUUGAUAGUUUGUAUUUCAAACAAGUUCCCAGGUGGUGCUGAUGAUGCUGGUUGGGGGCCACAGUUUUAGAACCACUGACUUAGACCAAUAAUUUUCGGCCCUGAGUUCUACUUUAGAGUCACUUGCUAUGAUGCUCCGCCCAGUUCUCCCUUCCAGGACUAAGGUACUCCUGCUUCCAUCUGCUGAUGGCUCAUAGCUUAAUGCCUCUCUGAGAAUGCCCCUGUAUACACCCUUGUAACCUCUACCCCAAACCCAAAACCAAAUCCAUUGCCAUUGAGCCAAUUCCUACUCUUAGCAACCUUAUGGGAUGGAGUAGAACUGCCCCAUAGGAUUUCCAAGGAGCAGCUGGUGGAUUUGAACUGUGGAUCUUUUGGUUAGCAGCCAAGCUCUUAACCACUGUGCCACUAGGGCUCCAGUCUCUACCCAGCUCAAGGAACAAAGCAUUUCUAGCUCUUUGGAAAGAUCUACCAUGCCCUUCCAGUCAAGUCAUCUAAGAUUAGUUUUGCUUGUUCUCUUAACAAUCAAAUUAUUCAGUAUGUCCUCUUUUAUAUCUGGUGUCUUUCACUCAACAAAAUGUCUGUGGGGUUCAUCCAUUUUGUUCCAUGUGUCAAUAGUUCAUUCUUCUUUAUUGUUAUGUAGUAUUCUGUUGUAUGAAUAUACUGAAAUUUAUUUAUGCAUUCUCCUUUUAAGGAACAUGUAAGUUGUGUUGUUUCCAGUUUGGACAUAUCAUGAAUAUUUUUGCUUAUGUGCUUUUUGGGGAAAUGUGUACUCAUUCUCUUGUGUGUAUACCUAGGAGAACUGUGAAAUGUAGGGUAGGUAUAUAUUUAGCUUUAGAGGAAUAUGACAGUUUUGUAAAGUGGUUGUACCAAUUUAUAUUCCCACCAGAAAUGUAUGAGAGUUCCAGUUGAUUCAAUUUUCCACCAACCCGUGCUGUGGUCAUUAGUUUCACUUUUUAGUAUCUGCUUGUGGUUUUACUGCGCAUUUCCUGGAUGGGUAAUUAUGCUGCGCACUUUUUCAUAUUCUUAUUGGCCUUUUAGAUAUAAUUUUUUGUGACACUAUUCAAGUCUUUUACCCACUUAAAUUUUUUUUCUUAUUGAUUUAUAGGAAUUCUUUUUAUAUUCCAGAUAUCAGUCCUUUCUUGGUUAUUUGCAUUGGUAAUAUCUUCACCCAGCCUGUGGCUUGUUUUUUCACUCGCCUAAGGGUGUCUUUUAGCCCUAAUGCCCCAGUGGUUAAGAGCUCAGCUGCUAACCAAAAGGUCAGCAGUUUGGGAGUUUGAUUUCACUGGCCGCUCCUUGGAAACCCUAAGGGGCAGUUCUUCUCUGUCCUAUAGGGUCGCCAUGAGUUGAAAUUGACUCAGCGGCAACCGGUUAAUGAUGUCCUUUAAUGAUCAGAAGAUUUUAAUUUUAGUAAAGUCCAAGUUAUUUAUUUUUUUUCUUUUAUGGUUAUCUCUUUCUUGUCCUCUUUAAGAAUGCUUUGCCUACAUCUGAGGUCUUAAAAGAUACUUAUGUCCAGGACCCAUCCCAGAAAAUUAAUUCAGGAUCAUGGGUAUUUUUUAAAAGCUCCUCAGGUGGUUCUAAUGUACAGCCAAGUUUGAGAACUGUUGACUUAGACUGGGACCCCUGGUGGUGCACUGGUUAAGAGCUAUGGUGAGCUUCAGCUGGUAACCAAAAGGUCAGCAGUUCAAAUUCACCAGCAGCUCCUUUGGAAAUCCUAUGGGGCAACUCUACUCUGUUCUGUAGGGUCACUAUGAGUUGGAAUUCACUUGAUGGCAACGAGUUUGGUUUUUUGGUUUGGACUCAGACUGUGAGCUUCCUGAGGGUAGAGAUGGUGAGUUGUCUUUGUUUAUACAGCCCAGGAUCUAGUGCCUGACACAGUGGUACACACACGAUGAUAUUUGAUGAAUUUGAUCCAUCAUUCCCAGGUCAUCUCAAAUUCCAUCUUGUCUUUGAAAUCCUUCCUUACCACGUUACUUCCAAUGACUAUUGUGCCCUGCAUUUGUUUCCCUGUCCUCCCUCCCCUGAGAAGUAACUAAUAUGAUUGAUGAGCUGGAGAGAGUCCAGUAGACAUUCCAUUCCACCGAUAGUUGGAUAGUGAAAGUCAGGAUUCCCCUUACUCUUUUUUUUUUUCUACCUGCUGCACAGAUUAGUAAAAGGAUGCCAGAGCUCUCCCUUGGCCUUUUUCCACAUAGUUAGCAGAAUAAACUUCACCUACAAUUGGUUGGGGCUAGCACUAGGAUGUCAAAGUUCAAUGAGAUUAUGAGACCAUCACUCAAUAUCUGAAACAAAACUGAAUUGAUUAAGGAAGGAUUUCUUUUUUUUUUUUUAUUGUACUUUAGAUGAAGGUUUGCAGAAUAAACUAGUUUCUCAUCGAACAGUUAGUACACACAUUGUUCUAUGACAUUGGUUACCUACCCCGCAAUUUGUCAACACUUGCCAUUCCCAACCUUGGGUUACCUACUACCAGCUUUCCUGUUCCCUCCUGCCUUCCAGUCCCUGUCCCAGGGCUGGUGCGCCCCUUUAGUCUUGUUUUCCAUGGGCUUGUUCAAUCAUUGGCUGAAGGGUGAAUCUCAGGAGUGGCCUCGUUACUAAGGUGAAAGGGCGUCUGGGGCCAUACUCUCAGGGUUUGUCCAGUCUCUGUCAGGCCAGCAAGUCUGCGCUUUCUUUUUGAGUUAGAAUUUUGUUUUACAUUUUUGUCCAGCUCUGCCUGGGACCCUCUAUUGUGCUCCCUGUCAGAGCACUCUGUGGUGGUAGCCGGGCACCAUCUAGUUGUACUAGACUCAAUCUUGUGGAGGCCAUGGUAGAUGUGGUCCAUUAGUCCUUUGGACUAAUCUUUCCCUUGUAUCUUAAGUUUUCUUCAUUCUUCCUUGCUCCCGAAGGGGUGAGACCAGUGGAUUAUCCUAGAUGGCCACUCAGGGACUUUUAAGACCCUAAACGCUACUCACCAAAGUAGAAUGUGGAACAUUUUCUUUAUGAACUAUGUUAUGCCACUUGAGCUAGAUGUUCCCAGAGACCAUGGUCCCCACAGCUCUCAGCCCCGCAAUUUGGUCCCUCAGGGAUUUCGGAUGUGUCUGUGGAGCUACCAUGACCUUGCCUUGUACAGGUUGUGCUGGCUUACCCGGUAUUGUGUAUUGUCUUACCCUUAAGGAAGGAUUUCUGAGCAGAGCAGACUGCCGAUUUAUAUAGGGUUUUUGGGAAGUGUGGGGUUUGGGGAUUGCCAGAUUUGCAGACGGUUAAGGGCAGUGGCAUCAUCUGUAGAAGCCUGGUUACUUAGGUGAGAUUUGUUCUCACUGUAUUCAUUGGAGUGAGUCUGUGAUUGGCUGACUCUCAGAUGAGGGGCUGAAACUGAUUGGUUGGCAUGGAAAAGCAGCUCACCAAGGUGAGUUGUUUGUUGAUUGAGUAAACGGGUUUCAAACCUGUUCUGAGGAUGACUUAUUGCCAUGAUUAUAAGGCAAUCAGAGGGUUUUCCAAGGAGUACGGAAAUUUGUUUAUAUUUUCCCAUUCAGUUUCAUCGGUAAUAAAGGUGGUAUUGUCCUUUUAUCAUUUCUGGCAUCAGCUGAUUAGACCCUAGAGAAAGGAAGGCUGUGAUUAGUGUCCCCAAACCUCCCCAGACAGGGAGGGGUGGGACUGACAUAGGCUGCCUUAGAGCUGAAAGAAACUUGAGAAUUAGUUCAGUUUAGCGGGUUUGCAAACAUUAAAAAAAAAAAAAACUUUUAAUGGUUAAUUUUAUGUGUAACAUGGGUGGAUUAUGGUGCUCAAUUGUUUUUUGGUAGUCUUGAUGUUAUAAAGUUAUUUAGAUAUGAUUAACAUUUAUAAUCAGUUGACUUUAAGUAGAUUAUUCUCCGUAAAGGAAAUGGCUUCACCUAAUCAGUUGAAGGCAUUAAGGGCAAAAGCUUAGGUUUUCCAAAGAAGGAAAGAAUUCUGCCUCAGGACGGUGACAUGGAAACCCUGCCUGAGUUUUUAGUCUGCUGGCCUGCACCACUGGCAAAGAUUUUGGACUUGCCAGUCCCCAUAAUCGCAUGAACCAAUUCUUUAAAAUAAAUUUACUUCUUUCUCUGUCUGUAUACUGUUGUUUCUGGUUCUCUGGAGAUGCUUGACUGAUACCACUUUAAGAGGAAAACUGAGGUGAAACCUUAACAUAUCUAAGAACUACUGUCCACCUCCCUCCUUAGCACAUAAUGAGAAAGCAGAUGUUUUGAUCCUACAUCCCUACUAAGCUGGUGCCUCUGAAGCUGCUCUUUGGUGUCUCCUGCCCUUCUGUAUUGAUUCUAACUCCACCGUGCACUGUGGCUCACUCUGCUUCUGGUCACCUCCUUGAAGGCCUGGACAGGGACCCUGGUGGGAUGCGGUCCCCUUGCCCUGGGCCCAGGGAGAGAGGAGAAUAUAGUGCUUCUACCCUGCCGUCCUUUCAGCCACCAGAGCACUGUCAGGCCACAUGGUCAGGUAUUCAGACUUAGAACACAGACAGGAAAGCUUAAAGAACCUUUUCCUGAGUUGACCAAGUUCAGCCUUUCCCUCCUUAGUCCAUGGUUCUCUAAGUCUGAAUUUUUUGGCCUAGUCUUGUGUGUCACAAACUUUAAUAUGCUGAUAAAUCACACAGGAUCUCCUUAAAAUGCAGAUUCUGAUUCAGUAGGUCUUGGGCGGAGAUUGAGUUUUUGUAUUUCUAACAAGUUCAAGUUGAUGCCCAUCCUGUUGUCCUGCCACCGCUGUUUGAACAGCAAGUUUCUCCUAACACCCAGGCAAGAGAUUCAUCAGGACAAGUGGUGAAGCUGCUGCUCAACUAAGUCACACAUAGGGAAUUUGGCAUUCAAGAUGGGUCAAGGUUGGCUUGGGCUCUACAUACUGGGCCUCCUUGUGACCUUCUGCUAGUUGUGAGUUGUUGGCAUCAGGGCCAAACACACACAUCUGCUAUGAGAAAAGCCUUUCCACAGACAGUGCUAAGUUUCUAAGAAGGAUAAAAUAUUUUCCUAAAGGCCUUAAAAUUGCAAAGCAUCCCCCUUUCUGUGGUGCUACGUUAAUAUUCGGCACUGGAAUUCAUUUAAUUUGUUCAUUCCUCCCUGCUGCUUUCCAAACUAUGCUCAUUUGGAUUUGUCAUGAAUAAAAGAAAAGGGGAAAAUAUUUUAAUGUCUGCAGCCUUCAUUACAAAAAGAGAAGCUUUGACACUCUUACUCCAGGAAGAACUUGAUUACCUUUUUAGUCAAAAGCAUGUAGUUCUGCUCAGUUGCCAUCUACAGGUAUUUUAUUCUUAUAGUUACAAUAAUAUGUAAAACAGAUGCAAAUAUGAAAAAAUACGUAAGACAGGUGCCAUGAGGGCCGGGGUCCUGCCUGCACAGCUUCUCCUGGCUACCUGCUGAGAGGCCUAAGACAGACACCUCUGAGGAAUACCUGGGCUCCUGGGAACCUAAUUUGUAAGGAUCGGAUCCACAGUCCCCAUCACACUUUACAGGUAAGGAGUCAGAGGGCCAGUGAGUGUGACUGUGUCUUCUGUUUUUUAAAUCAAGUAAAAUUUGAUGUGUUUACAGGCAGGCUUGCUGAAUAGCACAGUUACUUGCCUUCCUUCCAGACAGAAAGGUGACUCAUUUUGUUACUAUGAAUGGUUUUGAUCCCAGAACCAUGCCUCAAUUUCCUGGAGAAAAAGGAAAGGCCGGAAUGGAAUUGUCAAGGCGAACAAUAUCUGGCUACCCUGGGAGAGAUAAUAAUAGCACAUAUGUACAGAGAACAUGGGUCAGACUUGGUGGUAAACACUUGACACAUGUUAACUCUAUAUGUCAGUGCCAUGAGGUGGGUGUCAUCUGAUCAGUGCUUAAGGCACAGAGAGUUCCAGCACCUUGGCCAGGGUCAGCCAGGUCCUCAGUUGUGGAGUCAGGCCAUGAACCCAACCAGUCUUCCUCCAUGUCUGGCUCUUAACCCCUCUGCUAUGGGACUAGCUCUAAAAGUUCCCAUCCCAGUAUCAACAUUUUCUCCUUUGGAAAACAGAUUUUUUUCUCCUUUUUCUUUCACUCAGCUCCUGCUGCCUCUCCAAGGAAUUCAGCUGUUUUCAACAUCUUUUGUUGUGUAGUGAUACUGGUCCCCUUAAUCUUGCAAACUACAUCCUCAGACAAGAACUUCAGGCCAUAGACCACCUAAUUGCUCCCCAUUUUUGUGCUCAUGGGUAGAGACCUGUGUUAUACAAUUGUCUGGGGGCCUCAGAGCAGAGUUCCUGGGGGCUGCUGUCAAGUCAGAGCCGGAGCCGGAGCCGGAGCCGGAGCCGGAGCCGGAGCCGGAGCUGGAGCCAGAUUAAGGCUGUUUCUAGUGCUCAGAGCCCUUGCUGUCUAUCACCCCAUAGCCUUCCCCACUCAGGCCCACUCACCAUGCCUAAACUAUAGCCUGCAUCCAGUACUGAGCGCACCCAACUUGACCCGUAAGUCAAGCUGCAACCCCGCCCAGACAGCUGUGCGACACCACCUGUUGAUACCUUCCCCAUCUAUGGGAGGCAGUGAGUGUUGGAAUAGAGAAGCAGCUUGGCAUGUUUCUGUGCCAAGCUGCUUUGAUUCUAUACAGGUCCAAUUACUUAGUAGCUUGGAGACGUUGAGUAAGUUAUUUAAAUCACCCGUGCCUCAGUUUUCUUAUCAAUAAAAUGCAAAUAAUUAUAAUACCUACUUCAUUUCCACCACUCCUUUAUCAGCUUAUCCUGCUGUGGUGACUUGUGUGUUGCUGUGAUGCUGGAAGCUAUGCCAUUCAUAUUUCAAAUACCAGCAGGGUCACUUAUUGUGGACAGGUUUCAGUGGAACUCCUAGAUUAAGACAGACUAGGAAGAAAGACCUCGCGAUCUACUUCAGAAAGUUAUCCAAUGAAAACCCUAAAGAUCACGAUAGACUAUUGUUUGAUAAAGUGUUAGAAGAUGACCUCCCGAGGUUUGAAGGUACUCAAAAUAACACAGUGUCCACAACAAUGAACCCAAGCAUACCAAAAAUUGUGAAGAUGAUGCAGGACCAGGCAACAUUUCUUUCUGUUGUACGUGGGAUCGUCAUGAGUGGGAGCUGACUUGACAGCAACUAACGACAACCUCAUUUAGCUGUGUAAAGAGUGAAUGAGAUAUUACAUGUAAAACUUAGAACGGUGCCUGGUCUAUAGGGAAGAAUAGUAGCUUUCACGAUGAUCAAAAAAACCCAAAACUGGUGGCAUAAUGGUUAAGUGCUACAGCUGUUAACCAAAAGGUCGGCAGUUCAAAUCUGCCAGGUGCUCCUUGGAAACUCUAUGGGGCAGUUCUACUCUGUCCUAUAGGGUUGCUUUGAGUUGGAAUCAACUCGACGGCAGUGCAUUUUUUAUGAUGAUAUGGUUGGCAGCAGGAGAGAAGACAAAGUGACUUCCUAUUAUCAUUUGGAAGCCCUGGUGGUGUAGUGAUUAAGAGCUAUGGCUGCUAACCAAGGGUCAGCAGUUUGAAUUCAUCAGCUACUCCUAGGAAGCCCUAUGGGGCAGUUCUAGUCUGUCCUGUGGGGUUGCUAUGAGUUGGAAUUGACUCGAUGGCAAUGGGUUUUUUUUUUUGUUUUUUUUUUUAAAUAUCAUUUGGGCAUACAUCAAUGCUAGAAUUCUUGUGGUAUCUUUUACCACUUUAGUGGAUCCCCUUCCAUUGUUUAAUCCAAGGAACACAAAUCUUUUAGGACCCAGGAUAAAAGUCCCCAUCCACGCAUACUCCCUGACAGUUGGGUGGGGACAAAGCAGAGGCCUGAUUUGCAAUACUAAUUUCCUGGGAGUUGUCAAACUAGCUCACUCCGUGAAGCUGACUCCACUAUGUCUGUUAAUCAUAAUGGUUGGGGUUAUACUACCAAAUCACAUCUGAUUCACUGGUUUCAACUCCAUCAUCUGAAAACUCAUUUAUUACUCCACAGAUAGACACUCCCACCCCUCUGCUCAGUUUUCUUUCUCAUCCAUACUCCACCAGGUAAUACUUGGACUUUGUCUUGACUGAGCUUCUGUAUCAUUUCUAAAUGAUUCCCCUUACAGCUUGGCCUUCCUCCCCUACCCAUUUCCUCUUCUUUUACAAAAAAUUUUAUUGUGAAAAUAUCAUACAUAAAAUGGUACAGUACUGGACACUGUGGUAUGCUGCCCGGAUCCCCUCCAGGAGUGAACAGCUUAAUCCCAGCUGCUGGGGGCUUGGCAGGUAAAGAGCCCUCAGUCGUAGCCCUCUGUGUGGAUGGACUCAGUUGAAGAGAGCUGCUUUGCCCCAGGUCAGGUCCCUUUCCCAGGGUGCAUGGAACCUGGAACAUAGUAUGGUCCAUAAAUAUUCUUUUUUGGUUGGCACCUGUAGCUCUUAAUCACAAUGCCAUCAGGGUUUCCAUUUUGGCAGAUAGAUGAGAAAAAAAUUUUUUUUUUUUUUUUAGAAUAGUUUUAGAUUUACAGAAAAAUUGAGAAAUGGUACUAAGAGUUCCCAUAUACCCUAAACCCAGUUUCCCCUAUUAUUAACAUUAGUAUAUGUACAGGAAAGGGUUAACUUAGCAGACCUGGGUUACUGAAACUCUCUACAUUCUCAAGAAAGGUCUGCCUUCAGGACUGGCCCUUCUGACUUCUAGGAGAUGAGCUCUGAGCCCUUGGAAUAUUGUGCCUGAUAAAUGUUUUUGUAUGCCUGAUGUCUUGGGCCACAAGGCACCGGUUUGAUCAGAUAGUUUAUGCCUAACAAUAUGAUUUAUGGUGAGUCCCUGUUUUUGUGCUGGAAGGCUAGAGUCUUAGUAGCUGAGUCCAGACAUGCAGGUGCUGCAUGUCUAUGUGACUGAUCCUCCAAUAAAAGCCCUAAACACCAACGGUCAGGUAAGCUUAUCUAGUUGGUAAUACUUCCACAUUGUCACACAUCAUUGCUGGGGGAAUCAAACAUGUCCGUGUGACUCCACUGGGAGAGAACACCUGGAAGCUUGUGCCUAGUCUCUCCUGGACUUCGCCCCAUAUGCCUUUUCCUUCUGUAGAAUUUAAUCUGUAUCCUUUCACUGUAUGUCUUAGUCAUCUAGUGCUGCUAUAACAGAAAUACCACAAGUGGAUGGCUUUAACAAAGAGAAGUUUAUUCUCUCACUGUCUAGUAGGCAGGCUACAGUUUCAAAUCCAGGGCGUCAGCUCCAGGGGAAGCCUUUCUCUCUCUGGUGGCUCUGGAGGAAGGUCCUUGUCAUCAGUCUUCCCUUGGUCUGAGAGCAUCUCAACACAGGAACCUCAGGUUCAAAGGAUGUGCUCUGCUCCCAGCACUGCUUCCUUGGUGAUGUGAGAUUUCUAUGUCUCUUGCUCGCUUCUCUCUUUUAUACCUCAAAAGAUAUUGGCUUUAGAUACUACUUAAUGUUGUAGACCUCAUCCAUAUAACUGCCACUAAUCCAUCUUAUUACAUCAUAGUAAUAGGAUUUACAACAUAUAAGGAAAUCACAUCAGAAGAUAAAAUAGUAGACAAUCAUGCAAUCAUACAAGGGCAUCAUGACCUAUCCAAGUUGACAGGUAUUUUUUGGGGACACAAUUCAAUCCAUGACACUGUAUAAACUGUAACUGUGAGUAUAACAGCUUUUCUAAGACUUGUAAACUCUUCUAGUGAAUCAUCCAGCUGGAGGGUGGUCUCGGGGACCCUCAACACAGUACAGUACAUUUGUUACAAUUGAUGAACUAAUAUUGAUGCAUUUAUUAUUGACUGAAGUUCUUAUUUUGCUCAGAUGCCCUUCGUUUUCAUCUAAUGUCCUUUUCCUCUUUCAGGGUCCAGAAUACCACAUUACACUUAGUCAUCACAUCUCCUUAGGCUCCUCUUGGCUGUGACAGUUGCUCAGGCUUUCCUGGUUUUUGAUGAUCUUGACAGUUUUGAGGCAGAGAGCUGGAGAUGCAAAGGUUCAAGAUAGUCCCUGCCAUCAAGGAACUCACAAUAUGGUAUCAAGCUAAUAAAUAAUUAUGACACAGCUUGAAAAGCACAAUAACAAAUGUACGUAUUAAAGUGAAGCACAGGAAAAAAAAGGACCAAUUUGGACUUGGUGAACUGGAGAUUUUAUCAAGGAAGAGAUCCUUGAAUUAGGUCUUGAAGGAAGAAUGUGAGUUUAACAUACAGAUGGGAGGGGCCACUGAUGGAAGGGCAUUUCCAGCAGAAGCAGCAUUCUGUACCAGAGCAAAGAAGUGGAAACAGGUGGAAUUUGAAAGACAUUCUGGAAUGGUUGGAGCAUAGGGGCCCAUAGUGGAGCUGUGAGCUGUAAUCCUAAGAGAAGGCAGGUGUCCAAUCUCAGGGGACUGUUUCCAAUCCUACCUAGAAGUCUUUAGAAAAUGGGGAAACUUUGGAGGUUGUUAACUGAAAAUUUCUAUAUUAGAAAAAUUAGAGACUGGAAUUAAGAACAGUGAGACUGAAGAGAAGACGACCAAUUAGGAGACUAAGAAGUUGAGGAAGGAAGUAGACAUGGAAAAGAGAGGACAAGGUCAAAAUAAGGGAUGUAUAAAAGAAGGAACCUUAUAACCAAUUGAGCCUUGGGAAACACUGACAUUUAAAAUACGGAUGGAGAGCAUAGAAUGAGAAGAAAAGAACCUAUAGACAGAGCAAUAACAGCUACUGUUCAUUCCUUCAUUCAGCAAAUAUUUUUGAGUGUCUGCUGUGUGUCAAAGGAGUCCUUGGGUGAUGUCAAAGGUUAUGCACUCAACUACUAGCUGAAAGUUUGGCAGUUCGAAUGCACCCAGAGGUGCCUUGGAAGAUGGGCCUGGCAAGCUGUUUCUGAAAGGCUUUGAAAACCCUAUACACAUGAGGUUGCCAUGAGUUGGAAUUGACUUGACAGCAACCACCACCACCACUGCAUGUCAGACACUGCCCAGGUGGAAAGGAUACAGAGAUGAAUAAGAGAGAUCAGUGUCUGCUCUCAUGGAACUACAUUCUAGUGGAGGGGAGAAAGAUAAUACACUUCUGUUAUUAAGAUGCUAAUAUCGGAGGAAAAGGAAACAGCCAACAGCUUAAUGUGAAUUCCCAUGGCUUCAGGUAUUAUCUAUAUGCUGAUGAUGGAGUCUUUGGGUGGCGCACAUGGGUAACACUCUUGACUGCUAACUGAAAAGUUGGAGGUUCGAGUCCACCCAGAGGCACCUUGGAAGAAAGACCGGGUGACCUACUUCCAAAAGAUCAGCCAAUGAAAACCCUAUGGAGCACAGUUUUGCUCUGACACACAUGGGGUUGCCAUGAAUUAGAAUCACUCAACGGCAACUGGUUUAUAUGCUGAUGACAUUCCAAUUUUUCUCUUUAAUCCAGAAUUUUCAUAUAUUUAGCUUGACAUUUGAAUGUCUUGCAGGCAUUUCAAAAUUAACAUAUCCCAAAUGGUGCUCAAUUCCCACAUGUCCCUCUUCUGUUUUCCAUUUGAGUAAAUGGUGACACAGUCCUUUUAGUUGUUUAUUCAGAAAUCCAGUAGUUGUAUUCUAAUCCUCUCUUUUCAUUACCCUCCACAUCAAAUUCAUUAAGAAGUUAUGUCAAGUCUGCCUUGAGACCUCAGAUUUGUUUGCCCUUCUCCAUCUGUGGCAUCACCAUUCUUACUGCCACUCGGUCAAAAGUAGGUCUCUCCCACUCUGUCAUCUCAACUACUAUUGUUAAUUUACUUAUUAGCUCUUAUUGCUAUGUAUAGCAAUGUUUCGUUCUGCUAUACAUACGGUCACUAUGAGUCAGAACCUAUUCAUUUGGCAGUUAACAACAACAAAUUCUUUGAUUUAAUUCUUUAUUCGUGACAUGUCUUUCCCUCUAGAAUGUAAGUCCCAUAAGGGCAGGGACUCUUUUUUUUUUUUUUUUGGUUAGUUAUAUCAUCAGUGUUUAAUGUAAUUAACACAAUGCCAGGCACACUGUAGAUGCUCAACAAAUAUACUGGCACCUGAAUAAAAGGAUUAAGGAGUAAAUAAUUUCCCUUGGGGAAGGCAGGCGCUCAAUGCAAGUGAAUAGCCCCAGUCAACUGUGCCUUAAAAAAAACACCUGAAGGGACAAAACCCAUGGUCACCAAGGUCAGUCUUUCCAUAAUCCUUGAGGCACUGGCCAAUAGGACUGGCUACCUGCCAGUGGCCUUCUGUCCCUCUUGUUCUCCUGGGUAAGCUGCAUAUUACUCUUCUCUGACAUAGCAGAUAUACAGGCAACAGCUUAUUGUUUGGUAGUUUACAAAGCAAAUGCAUAUAUGUUGUCUUAAUAACAUGCAAGAUGGGGCCUGAGCUUUACAGAUGGGGAGUCUGAAGAAUAAGGGGAUAUGUCACAGAGUUGGUAAGGGCUGAAACCAGUGUCAGACCUACAUCCCUGACUCCAGAUCUACUUUGCUUUUCACCAAGUCCACUUAUAUUUUCUAAUCAAAAGGACAUCAGACCUGUUUGAAAGUAUAGGAAUGCUUUAAGAUCAAUGCCAGGUGAUUUGCCUAGGCACAAACCUUUCUGUUGAAAAGGGUCAUCUAUGUUAGAAUGAACCUAAGGUUCAUCUUGCUAAUUUCUGAAAACAAGGGAAGAGACUGAAGACUAACGAUUUAGAACUCACAGAGACCGUUAUAUAAAAUGAUUCACUUCCUCCUCAUAAUGACUCAGGGAAAUAGGUACAAUAGAAUAAGUUUUGUUAUCCUCAAGUACCAGAUAAGUUAUCUGAGUCCUAGGAAGUAAAGAGCUCAUGGUCAACCACUUAAAGAACAUUGAUUAGAAGCAUGGGCUCUUGGAGAAAGACUUCACUUGAUUCAUGGUUCCCCUAUUUACUAUUUGUGUAAUCUUAGGGAAAUUGCAUAGCUCUCUGUGCCUCAGUUUUCUCAUCUUUAAUAUGGGGACAAAAAUAGUAUAUACCUUCUCAGGAUAUUGUGGGGAUAUUAUGUGUUAAUCCAUGUAAAGAAUUUGGUAUAAUGUUUGGCACAUGGUAAGUCUCAAUAAAUGCUGACUAUUAGUAAGCUGGGCUGCUAACCAAAAGGUCAGCAGUUCGAAUCCACCAGGUGCUCUUUGGAAACCCUAUGGGGCAGUUCUACUCUGUCCUGUAGGGUUGCUAUGAGUCGGAAUUGACUCGACGGCAACGGGUUUUAUUAGUAAGUGACCUAGUUCUUGUAGGUCCAACUCCAGGCAUCUUUAUAACAUUCAAGUUUGUUCUGUACUUAGAAGAACAAUUAAAAUAAUUUCCUUUACAUUCAUCUUUUCAGGAGCAUUUGAGGCCAAAGAUGUCUUGCUUAGAUUUUUCCUUAACUUACAGCUGGAUUACAGGGCAAAGGUAGGAAUUUAAUGUUAAUACACUUUAUGGAAUCACUGCAUAAAAUUUAAUUUUGGCAGAGAGUAUGCUGGAGAUCAUAUUACCAUCAUAAAGAGUUGUUCUCUUUCAUUUUUAUUUUCCAGAAUUUCAAACCUCGAGCAAAUGUGGCCAAGUCUUUUGUUUUAAGGACAUGUGCUCUGACUCAUUGUGUGUCAAAGGAGAAGCCUUUCUUUUAACUUCAGAUAUUUAACAUGACAUUAGAGGCUGCAUCAAUUAUUUAUUACUUUUUUUGUCCCCUUAGAUUUCUACACAGAAAAUAUUAUUCCAAGACCUGGAUUAAUUAAUCAAGAUAAAAAAAUGUGAGUGAUGCCAAGAACAGAAGCCACUGCCCUUGAAACCAAGAAACAUAGAUUAUUAUGGCUGUGGUUACCUCCUCAGGCAUACCCAGAUAUAAUGGAUCGAUGUUAUCGGUCCUUAUUAACAGGCUAUGUCAUUUAGACAAAAGGCUCAAUUGAGCAGAUAAGUCCUAAAUUAAAUUUCUAUGGUUGGCAAAAACCCAAUCUUUACCAAGGUUUUUCAGUUUCUCAAGAAGGAGAGAAGUGAGAUUCUUUUCUCUAAGGAGCUUCUGUGAUCACUACUCUAUUCUAAUUUUUAGUUGGUUUGCAAUCUGUAUUUUAUCUGGAUGUACUUCUUUCUAUUGAUCUCUUAGAGGAUCAUGAGUUUAAGGGGUAAAGCAUCAGCACCAAGGUUAUGGGAUUGGCACUAGUUAGAGUUUUCAGCUAUAGCUACUUCUUUAUCCAAAUAACCCAAGCAAUCAAAGAAUGAGGGCAGCAUUAGAAGAAAUGGUGCAAUUACCAUACAUUAGGAAAGUCUUUCCAGAUGUCAAUUGAUCAUUUUUAUUCUGAGGUUAGUUCUGGUUUGGGUAGCAAUUUUCAUUUCUGAAAUGUGGGUAAAUCUGAUCUAGUUGACAACUGUUCUAUUUUUCAAACAAUUCCAGAAAGUCUACCAUCUUUAUGGCUUACCUUUUGAGAAAUGAGAAAAUUAAGAUUAUCUUCCUCUCAAAAUUUGGUGAGGGCUGUAUUAUGGAUCCCUUUAGCAGGAUGAUAAGUUUGAAAGAAUUAUUCUUUGGAGCCAGAAAAACUGGGUUCAGAUCUUGACUUUGCUACUGGCUGAAGAACAUCAGUGAAUUUUUAUCCAUCCUUACUUUCAGUUUUCUCCUCUGUAAAAUGGGCAUACUAAUAUCGACUUGGUAAGAUAUUUUGAAGGUUAAACAAAGUGUUGUAUGUAAGGUUCCAUACUAGACACACAGUGAGUCUUCAGUAAAUCCCGAGCCUUUGUUACCAGUGAAAGUACUGUGAAGGAGCUAAGCUUCGUAUCAAAGGAUCACAGAUGCAUCUGGUCUGGCCUGAGAAAUUUAUUUAGAAAAAAAAAAAAGGAGUUAACACAUAUAAAAUUGGAAGAUUUUUAUAUAAAAAACUGAUUGGCUUUUAUUGAAAAAGUGAAGAGAAAUAAGGGGAGAAGCAGGAGGAAGAGUGGGGAGAAAGGAGGGGAGGGUGAAAGGGAAUGAGGAGAAGGAGGAAAAGAUGGAGGAGGAGAAGGUGAAGACAAAGGAAAUAGAGACCAAGGAGAUCUGACAGCACAGGCUUGCAUUACCAAAAGGCAAACCUUGAUUGGAGUUUAGUACUAGUUGCCUCUUUUAGACGGGCUGUGCACCCUGCUCCUGUCAUAUCCUAUCUUUCUCAUUGGUUGGGCUUCACUCACUUUCUAUUACUUGCCAGCUCCUGUGGAGGCUUAUUGGAGAUCCCUGCUUCAUGGAUUCCUGGAGUUAAGGACCCACCAUCAUUAGGGAUGUACUUAAAAUUGUUGUUUUAUAAUGUUGGAAUGGGGGAGACCUUCUAAGAUCCUUUAAGAGUGGAGGAGACAAGAAAUUAUAAAGCCAAAAAAGACAGACAUAUUGAACUACAUAAACGUUUAAAAAUUUUGUAUGGCAAAAGAUAUAAGGUCAAAAGACAAAUGAUUGACUGGGUAGGUCCACAGUGGGAGAUUUUAACACUAGCUCCUAACCUUUUCCAUGCUAUCCAUCCUUUAAUUCAUGAAAUAUAUGAGCUCAAAGAUAAAAGGUUAGUAUUCCUAAUAGACAAGAAGAUUUUACAAAUUGAUAAGAAAAACACAAACAAUCCAGGAAAAAAUUGGGGAAAGGAUGUAAUAGGAGCAAAAGCUAUGAAAAGGCAAUUCAAAGAAGGGGAAAUGCAAAUGACUAAUAUUAAACACACGGAGUGAUAGUCAAUUUUCCUGUUAAUCUUAGAAAAGCAAAUUAUAACAACAGUGAAAAACCAUUUUCACUCAUUAAAUUGGCAAAAAUUUAAAAGAACAAUAAUGUUCUGUGCUGGUUAAAAUGUGGAGAAUGUGAGGUGGAGCCAAGAUGGCAGAAUAGACAGACGCUUCCAUCAAGCCCUCUUUACAACAAAGACCUGAAAAAACAAGUAAAACGAGUACAUUUGUGACAAGCUGGGAGCCCUGAGCAUCAAAGGCAAGCUUAGACAAUGAACUGAGGGGCAGGGGGAGGAAGAGGCCAUUCAGAAGUAGACAGGAGUUACUGGACCUGAAUCGCGGGGAGCCCUCGGGCACCAUUCCCAGAGCAGCAGCGGCGGUGGUGGUGGGCUGCUACUAGCGUGCGGCUGCAGUUUCCUCAGGGAGAAGCAGCCAGCCACAAAGCCCACUCACACCUCCAGAACCUGAGAAGAAUGGCACUUUCAGCAAAAGAAGUGGCCAGUGUACACAUUCACUCCCCUGAAGUGCCUUGGUCUUGAGGAAAUCUUGAAGGGGUGGUGUCUCCAUCAUGUGUCCACCUCGUCAUCCACGCUAUCUUGUGACGACAAGAGAGAAGGAUAUGGAGCGACACAUUUCACAUUCACAGGUGACCUACUUCUGAAAAUAAGCCACGGAAAACCCUGUGGAGCACGUUCUACUGGGAUCGCCAUGAGUGGAAUCAACUCAACGGUGCUGAAGUAUCAGUGCACAACUCCUGGGGCUUGGACCCACUCAGAGAACAGGAAAGCUUAUUCUCCACAAACUCCAGCCACAAAAUUGGAUGGACAGAGGGAUGCCUUUAACAACGGUAAGGACAAUAUCUGACACUGCAUAGAUGUCACUGUGGCAUCAGGAACCUGGUGUUUCUUCUUCAGCAGUUACUGUUGAGUCUGUGAGCCCAAGAAGCAGAGACACAGACUGUGGGGCCCUGCAAGAAGGGCUGCAGCCCUCCUAAUGCACCCAGCACGUAGAGAGGACAGUUCCUUGUGUUUCAAGCUUCCCUUUCAGACACAUCUGUGUUAGUGCUGAGGGGUAGUUCAGUGCUAGAAUUCUUGACUCCUAUGUGGGAAUUCGAUUCCUGGCCAAUCCACCUCAUGCACAGCCACCACCAUGGAGGCUCGGGUGUUGCUAUGAUGCUGAGCAGGUUUCAGUGAAGUUUCCAGACGAAGACGGUCUAGGAAGAAAGGCCGGGCUAUCUACUUCCAAAAAUCAGCCAAUGAAAACCCUACGGAUUACAGCAGUGCGAUCCACAGCCAAUUGUGGGGAUGGCGCAGGACCUGGCAGCGUUUUGUUCCAUCGUACAUGGCGUCUGCAUGAGUCAGGGGUGACUUGAUGGCCACAAACAACACGUUACUGCUGGCUAUCAGUUACCAACUCCUUGGGUUAUGAAAGGCAUGGUACAGAAUACUACCAUGCUUUAACCCUGGGGGGAUAAUACCCGCUUCCAAAAGCAGAGAACGAGCAUAUCCAACCAAAUUAACUUAUCUGAUAACGGCAAGAGUCAAAGUGGGAGAGUGGGGUUUGUCAGGGCCGUUCUGUGCUUUGGAAAAUUGACCUUACUUGCAAAAAUCUACUGCCAGGAAUUAUCUGAGCCUUUUGGCUGAGCACAAGAUAUUUCUUUACAUUUCUACAGCUUAUUUUCUCUGAGGAAUUUAAAAGUUGUUUCUCAUCAAGAGUAAAGUUACUUAAGCCCUACAGAGAUCUGGCCAGCAGGGGCCAAGAAAGAGCCUGAGGCUCCUCUCUUCGCCCUCCCUGGCUCUGCCAAUGCUUGCUCGCCCUUUAGGUCCUGGUAUAAAUGGCACCUAAGAAAACUACUCGCAAGAGCCUGAGAACCUCUUGUGUAACACUGAGCUCAUGCAUUCAGCAAAUAUUUACUGAGGGCCUAGACACUGAACACUGUUUUAGCUACUGGAGCUACAGAAGUGAGCAAAACGCAGAAAAAUCCCCACUCUCCUAAGCUUGCAUUCUAACGGGAUGUGUGUGUGUGUGUAUACACAUAGACACAUAUACCUACACACGUAUAUAGUUAUUAUUUGUUUAUUGCCUACUGCAGCACUGUCCAAUAGGAAUAUAAUGCAAGCCACAUAUAUAACUCAAAUUUUCUAGCAGCCACAUACAGAAUAAAAAGAAACAUGUGAAAUUAAUUUUCAUAAUAUGUAUUUCAACUCAACAUACCCAAAAUAUUCUCAUUUCAACAAGUUAGCAAUAUAAACGAUUACUGAUGAUAUAGUUUACUGUCUUCCUUUUCUAACACUAAAUAUUCAAAACCUGGGAUGCACUCUACACUUCCAGCACAUCUCACUUUGGACUUGUCACACUUCACAUGCGGCCUGUGGCCACAGUACUGUAGUGUGCAGGCCUAGUGUAUCAGAUGAGAGUAAGUGUGGCGGGGGAAAAUAAAGCAGGGAAGAGAUACCCUGAAGGCCUGGGAGUGGGGUGGGUCAGCUGCAAUUUUAAGCAGGUCAGGAAGGCCUCACUGUGACGUUGACAUUAGGGCAAAAAGCUGAAGGAGAUGAGGUAGGUGGAUGUUUGGGGGAAGAGUGUUCUAGGCAGAGGGAAUAGCACGUGCAAAGGUCCUGUGGUAGGAGAGUGCAUGGCAAGUUCAAGGAAUAGUAAGCGGCUCGUUUGUAAUUAAUGGCUCAGGGUCUUCCAUUGUAGAGUAAAACUCCAUGUAAGCUGAGGCUGGCUCUGCCUCUGUUUUUCCUGUGCUGUGCUCAAUUUCUGGCACAUAGCAGGCACUCAAGGAUGACUAAAUGUACCUAUAGGUAGAGCAAGGCUGCUUGCAGGACAGGUAAGAAUCAUUGCUGCCAUCCAAGGAUCCUUAUUUUCCCACCAGGCCAGAGGAUUCUGAAGUAAAGUGGACUGAAUCAGCCUCUGUACAUUUCAACAAUGUCAACUUUUACAUGGGUGUUUUUGGCUAAGAGCUUUUGCGAGGGUUCAAGGGACACAUAUUUUGAAAGGCAGGCUGGUAAACAUACAGCUAGUUCACCAGUUAGUAAUCUUGGUAAUAUACUCACGUGAGUCUCAUUUCUAAUGAAAUUUCGAAGAUCUCCAUGUUUCAUGUAUGGUAGGACCACCAGGGGAGACCCCUCACUUCGAAGGCAGAUUCCCAAGAGCGAGAGAACGUUGGGAUGGCUAAAAUCUUUCAUGAUGAUUCCCUCAGUCAGAAACUGGGAAACUUCUCCUAUGUCAGUGAUUCCUGAGAAAUCCAGAGGUGACGAUAUUAGCUUUAUUAUGAAACUAAACCACAGGGCUAAAUAUUACCCUGAGACCUCAUCUUUGGAGUGUCUUUUUACAGUACAUCUGAGUGAAUGAAGUCACCCUGCGCUGUGCCUUUCAGGUCAACAUCUACACCCAUCGCCAUCAAGACAGAGUCUAGCAAUCAGUUUGUCUUAUGCAGAACCACACUUUGUCUAAUACAGAAAGGUGACAGGGAAGCAGGCCAGUCCAUUUCUGCAGCGAUUGUCUAGGGAAAACCUUUUUUUUUUUCCUGGAAAAAGCCAGAUAGUCAAUAUGUUUAGCUUUGCAGGCCAUAUGAGCUUUGUUGUAACUACUCAACUCUGCCAUUGUAGUACAAAAGCAACCUUGGACAAUGCAUGGUUGUGUCCAGGAAACUUCAUUUGUGAACAGGCAGUGGGCAAUUGUUUGUCAACCCUGGAUCAGGAGAAUUUGGAGACUCAUCACCAUAUGGUACCUAAAUAGAUUCUGUUGUUGUUGUUACAAUUGUUUCUAGCUAGCGAUACCUGGGGGCUGAUACAGUCAGCACUGAUGAAGAGUCAACCAAUUAUGAUUUAUUAAUCUGACCAGUAUCUCUCUGGCAAUAUUACUAGUGUUGGUAUUUCUUUCUUUCUUUCUUUUUUUUUUUUUUUUACAAAUGCAAGGUAUUCUGCACCUGGAAAAGCCACCAGAGGUCCAUACGGACCAAGUAGAUAUCAAUGCAGACCAGGGACAGCGAAAGAUUUCUCAGUGUUAGGGUCGUCCUGGAUAUAAUUGGCAGAGUGUUGUUCUUUCUUGGGGCAAAUUUAUUGACAAUCAUACUUAAUUCAUCACAGUGUGUAGUUAGAUUUCAUACAGAUUGUCCCUUUAAUUACCUUGUGGUCAGAUUUCCAACAAAAUCAAUCAUAUAACAACAGUGUUCGGCAUGGAAAUUUAUAUAAAGAAAGGCUGAAAUAGUUCUGGUGAUAAUGUAUCCUGCAAGAAAAUCUUCCACUAAUGUAUUUAAAGCUUAAUAAUUCUAAGUUACACAAACUUGUAACAUAAUUGAUUAGCAUUUUUAGGCUGCUGUACGUUUCUGGGCACAUUAUAAGCAGAAAUUUAGAAAUGGUGGAAAAAGCAAGCACACUGACUUGACAUGGGAGACCAGUUAGCAUAGGUGGAGACAGGAAAAUGUCAGUAAAUGGAGUCCACUGGGUUGUACAAUAUAGUAAUUUAUGGCCAUAAUUACAGCUCUGGGUCAUCAGUAAAGACUUAGUUUAUGCUUAGAAGCAUUCCCUCUUUCUUAGACAGAGUAUGCAACUUUUUAAAAAUGUUUUAACAUUAAAAGGGGUAAGCUUUAGUUAUUUAGGAAAUUCACUUACGUGGAAUACCUCAUUCCCCCAAAAAUGAGGAUAAAUGAGGUACUGCCACGCUGUUUUUCAAUUUUAUGCCCACGUAUUUUUCUCCUGUUUGUCUUAUUUCAUUUUUUAUCUUUUUAAUGGGGAUUGUGGUUAAAAAAUAAUUAUAGUAAUGCCUCUGGGUAAAAUGAGUCAUUACUACUGUUAUGUGCCAACAUGCUUCCAAUAGUUUCCAGAAAUGUCAUUUGCAAAACAAAUAUUAUAAGCCAAACACAAUUAAAUGAUACUCAGCUCAUCCAAAAACCUCAUUUUUCCUACACCCUGACUUGUGAGGACUCUGAGGGAUAACUUCAGAGAAAACAUUUCAAUAACAAUUUAGAUCACAUGAGGUUUCAGGGUGAGACCUGUAAUUCCAGCAGUAGCUGAGUAUUCCUCAAGGGAAAGUGUAAAUCAACAUUUUAUUAUAAACUAUUUAUUAGUUUGCAAACCACAGAAGUGUACUCCACUGCUAAACAAAAUGGAACUUACUAUUUAAGGAUUUCACAGCACAGUGAAUUUUCUUGUCACCAUUGUCCAACAAAGUUCCAUGAUAAACACACCCAAAAUGCCCUAUGUGAAAGAGGGAACUUGGUUAGUGUUGCAUUACUUGUUUUUAUUUUCUUUUUAAAAUGUUUUUUUUUUUUCUUUUAAAUAUUGUGGUAAAAUAUAUAUAACAGAGCAUUUACCAUUUCAACCAUUUUAAAGGGUACGAUUCAGUGACAGGAAUUACAUUCACCGUGUUGCGCAACCGUCACCACUAUCCAUUUCCAAAUGUUUUCCAUCCCUCUGAAGAGAAACUCAGUACCCCUUAAGCAAUAACUCCCUGCUUGCCCCCUCCUCAGCCCCUGGUAACCACUGAUAAACUUUUGACUCUAUGAAUUUGCCUCUUCUGGAUAUUUCAUAUCAGUGGGAUCCUAUGAGAUUUGCCCUUCUGUGUCUGCCUUAUUUCACUCAGCAUAAUGUUUUUAAGAUUCAUCCAUGUUGUAUCAAAACUUCACUUCUCUAAUGGUUGAAUAAUAUUCCAUUGUAUAGAUAUCUGUUGCAUUACUUUUAAUUGUUGUUGUUAUUUUACCAUGGAGUCUAUUCUGACUCGUGGUGGUCCCACGUCUGCAGAGUAGAACUGCACUCCAUACAGUUUUCCAGGCUAUGAUCUUUUGGAACCAGGUCUCCAGACCUGCCUUCUGAAGUGCCUCUGGGUGUGUUCGAACUGCCAACCUUUUGACUAGUAGUUACUGCUUAACCAUUUAAUUAUGCAAUGAUUAUUAAGCCCUUUAUGAUCGUUUUCUUUAAUUUUCUAUAUGAUAAAAAAGUACAUUAUUUUUCAUACUUUCUGAUUAAGAAUUCAACUGUGUGUGUGUGUGUUUGUGAAAGUAUGUAAAUGAUUACAUACCUACCACCCCAAAAUAUAAGCAAUAUGAUUCUUUAAUACAUGGUAAAAACUAUAAGUGAUAUGACUGCUAUUAAAGGCUAAUACACCUACUUCUUACUUACUAUCUUGUUAUCUGACAUUUUGCAUUUAUGACAAUAGUAAAACAUUUACUAUCCCACUAUUUUGCACAUUAACGACAUACAUCUGGUGGUAACAAACACCGAGGUGCGAGUCGAGAGUAAGGCUGGCUGUGAUAGUUAGGGUGAUGUGUCAGCUUGCCUGGGCCAUGAUUCUCAGUGAUUUGGCAGUUGUGUAUUGACAUAAUUUAGCAGCUAGCUACGUAAUGAUGUAGUCAUCCUUCAUUUUGUGAUCUGAUGUGGUCGUCCUCCAUUUUUGCAUAACACCAAUUUUUGCAUAAUGACCUGGUCUUUGGAACCUAGCCACGUCGAUAAGUGAGGAGUGGGUGUACGAUAAAAUAUCCAACCGCAGUGGGAACCCUAAAAAUAGGACUAACAACAGUCUCAUAAAAGAAAUUUAUUAUUUUUAAGGAUCAAUUAAUACCUUUUAAAAAUGAAAGUAAAGUUUUACUCAGAUGAAGAAAUAUAAGAAACUAACCUCCCUAUUAUUCCAAUAAACUGAGAUGAAAUAAUAAAUGUUACUAUUAGAAAUAAGACUAACAUUAUAGAAUAAGGAUUGCCCCCACUAGUCACUGGUUAAUAUGUAAUUCGGACGGGUAGAAAUGGGAAGGAAGUUGCCCACACGAAGCAAAUUCACUCUGACUUAUUUCAUACAGUUCUCUCUGGCCUUAGCCUCAUCACUUUCCCAGUGGCAGCCUUCUACCCAGUGGCAAUAAUUUUCCCCAGAGGUGCCAAAUGUCUGAUGGCUGUGUAAGUCAUUCAUUCAUUAAUCCAGCCAACCAGCCAGCCAGCCAGCCAAGACUCCCCAAGUGCCUGGGGUAUGUGUGUCAAGCACUAGGCUACCCUUUUGUAAUGCAAUAUGAAUAAAAUGAGACCUCUGCUCUUGAGUGCUCACAUUCUACUGGGGAAACACAUAUAAUAAUAGUUAAUAUUUCUAAGAAGAGAAUCAUUAAGAAAUAACUGUCAUCGUUGCACCUUUCGUGGUCAAAACCAAAAAACUCUAAUUUUACAAUGUGUAGAAUUAGAAUGUAAUUAGUGAGGUCAUGCACCCUAAAACUGGUGCAAUUACUAGGAUUUAUAGGCUGGUAAUGGAUCCAUGUAUUACUCUGAUGUCAGACAUGGAAAACUGUUUGUUAACAGUGACCCCGUAUUAGUGAAGGAGAAGCAUGUGAAAGGUUGAGAUCUGGAGAGAGUGGUGGAGGAACGCGUGGCUGCGACCACAGGAAAACAAAAAGGCUUCGUGUUCACAGAAGGCGAAUCAUCCCAACGCCUUUUUGGGCAUCACGAUGGCAGAUGCUAUGCCGCCCCUGGCAGCCAGCACAGAAUAAAAUGGAUCAGGGGCUAUUCAGUAAUAAGGGUAGAAGCUUUUUAGAAGAAAAAGGGAAGACUGGAGUUCAUUUCCUAGCUACAGCUUUCCCUUCUGGUUGGUUUUCUUUUCCUGCUAAAUAUUUUCUCAAAUACUGUUUAUGCUAGCUGUUAUUGCUGAUCUAGAGGGCUUAUUACAAAUAUUCAUUUCUCCCCGUGUGAAGAAAUGAGAGUGCUUUGUAGGAUGAUAUAUGCUGCUUCAGAUCAUGGCAAUGCUAUAAAUUCCCCGUCUUCUGAUGCUGUCCAGCAGUGCACAAGCUGCUAUAAGCCAGGACUGCACAGCGUCAGCCACUGUUCUCAGGGUAAAGCAAGACUGGAGGGAGAUAUGAGGGAAAAUGCUGGAAUUUAAAAGAACGAUUUUUAAAAGGGAACACAUGGCACUUUCCAAGAAACUAGAGUUGCCACUGUGAAAAAGGUGGGGAAGGAAUGUCAUUUAUUCCUAACAUGUUAGGGAGAUUAUCAAAUUGCCCAACUGCACAGGGGCAAGUCCCUAUAAGUAGGAUUUGCAGGGCUGCAUUUCUUUUCUUUUUUUUGAAUAAUAUUUUAUUGUGUUUUAGGCGAACGUUUACGCAGCAAAUUCGGUUCCCCUUUAACAAUUUUUAUACAAAUUGUUCUCUGCCAUUGGUUAUGAUUUUUACAAAGUGUCAGCCUUCUCAUUAUUUCCAUUCUGUUUGUUCUGUUUCCACUGGUCUAGUUUCCCUUUCCCUCCUUGCCCUCUCAUCUUUGCUUUGGGUAACUGUUGACCAUUUGGUCUCAUAUAGUUCAUGGUCUAAGGAAGCACAUUACUCACAGGUGAUACUGUUUAUUUUAUAAGCCAAUUUAUUAUUUGGCUGAAAGGUGACCUACAGAAGUAGCUUCAAUUCCAAGUUCAAAGGGUAUCUUAGGGCGAUAGUCUGGGGGGGGAAAAACAGCAAACUAGGCUGCAGGGCUGCAUUUCUGCAGAACAGAAACCCAGCGCACUUGUUAUCACUGCUGUCAGUGGCUUUUGCCAUUGUCUAAAUUCCUAAUCUGCAAAGGCAGAAGAUAAAAUGCUCACUGGGAAACCUUUAUUUAACAAAAGGCUGAGUGGAAAUACUUACCUCUUCCUAUGACUUCAUUGAAAUGCACAAUCAGGCUGCUCGGCCCGAUUACAACAUGCUGGACUGCUUGGACCAGCUCUGGAUUUAGAGCACUGAGGUCAAUGUGGACGUUAUUUUGCAGUAAUGGAAUGGAGCUAUCAGAGUCCCCAUUAGUUAGAAUGGGGGACAUGUCCGUCAGAGGGUACUGCACUUGUCGGCAUGAUCCAUUCUGAGAUGAGUUAGGAAACUGGUCUGUGAGAUAAAGCAAAAUUAUUAGAAAACCGUACUGAGACUUUACUUAGUGGGGACUGCCACAAGGGCAGCAAUUUGAAUUAAUAAUGAAGCCUAAAUUUUAAAAUUAAGGAACUGGCCGUUAUGUCACUGAACAAGGCUAGCGAGAGCCUUCACAAGGGAACUGGUUUAACGAAAAAAGACAGUAAGUUGGGAAAAACAGACUGGCUUAUAUGUACAAGUGUUUUAAAAAAAGUAUUUGUAAAAUUUCUUUUUAGAAGACUAAGCAUUGGAAACCCUGGUGCCAUAGUGGUUAAGUGCUACAGCUGCUAACCAGUUCAAACCCACCAGGCACUCCUUGAAAACUUUGUGGGGCAGUUCUACUCUGUCAUAUGGGGUCGCUAUGAGUCAGAAUAGAUUGACUCGACGGCACUGGGUUAAGCAUUAAUUUUGAAAGUCAUUGUACUCUGUACAGUUCCUUAGAAUUUUUACUUUCUAUAAACAAGAAAUAGCCAGGGUUGAGGUUUAUCUGCAUAUAGUAUAUUCUUAAGAUAAGCAGCAGCAAGGCGGUCAAACAACUGCCUUAUCUCACAAAAAUACAGCUCAAUAUAAGGAAAUGAAAAUGAGGCCCCUUGAGAGACUAGUGUUUAUUAAUAGAAUUUAUUAGUAUUGCUCAAAACCUAUAUGGAUUCUUGGUCAAAGAAAAAAUAUAUAGUGAAAUAUAUAUAUACGUUGCUAGCUAGACAGGGUUAGAAAUAUAUAAUGGCUGACUUCUAGAACUGAAAACCUUUCACAUAGUGAUAAAUUCUCCAUCAUGUGGUAAUGGUACCAGAUAGUGUUAUUGCUGUUUAGAGAACGCAGGUUAGAAUUGGGCUAGUGUGACGUCCCCAUAGCUUCAUGAAGGGCAGUUGGAAAGUGAUGGGCAUUCCUUAUAGGUUGAUCUUUACAACCUAAGCUCUGUAAGAGUUGCAGGAAAGGUUUUCCUUUGCCAAGGAGUAGUCUUUUCAUUUCUUUGAAGAUUUGGUAUCUCCACUGUGGGUAAGGAAUUGUGGUGGUGACAGCGAAUUGAUACCAUAUAGGGCAGAGAAGGCACCAGUUGCUUUGCCCUUUCCACCAGGAAUCCACGGCUGUCAAGGAAAGGACUUCACAGCAGUGACCGGCUAGAAGCAAGCCUAGGCAGGGUGUUAAUAUGUACUGUGAGGAAGUGGAGGGGAUCGUGGGAGAGGUCCCUAUUGGCACCAAUAGAUAAUACUGUUUGUUUGCAAAUAAGCAGGGAAAUCAGAACUUGAGAGGGGCAUAAAGAGAUAGUUCAUGGUACCUUAACUAUCUCUAGCCCCACUUAAUCAUUUUAGUAUUUUCCGCAGCUGGCGUUUCAGUUAAUAACAAAUCAGCUUGGCCAGGGCAGUAAAUACCAAUGGCAGUUCCACAAAAGCAUCUGGGACCCCCUACUGUCAGAAGAGUCACUAGCUGGAAAUACAUGAGCGGUAACCUUAAAUGAAGGCUAGAGAAUGUCAGGUGAGAACAUAAAAUGUAAGGUGGAUGAGGGAUCCUAGCUGGGUGCCUGUUCCUUCAAUCCCAAGGAUUCAUGUUUCCCAAACCUUUCCCAGGGGAAUGAAAAUGCAAAUAAGUUAUGCCAAGCACAAUUCCUUUAUUGUCACUUCUAGUCCCUUGCACCUGGAGAUCAGGGUUCUAAAUUCUUAAUGGUGCAGAGAUGGAGGACAUCCUUGGGGUGACUCAGAAAAGUCUUCCAGCAUGGGAAGUCCUGCUUGACCCUUCAGCUGAGUUAAAACAUGCACACAAACCCAUCUAACCCAUCAGUGUGUGGCCUUGGUGUAACACUGUGGAGAAUUCUAGGUCUACAUUAAAAGACUGGUAAGAAGGCUGUCCCCACCAGGUAAAGAAACAAGCUCUGUAGUUGCCUCUUCAUUAGGUGCUGGCUGUGUUUUCCUCAUUCUUCUCUCUGCAUAGCCCUCUUUUGCCUGUUUUACCUUUCCAUGUCUCCAGAGAGUAGGGUCAGUUUAGAAAAGAGAUGAAACUCAAGCAUCUUAGCAAUGACGACAGAAGUUUGAUGAACCAGAAGGUUAAAAGAUUAGGUAAGAUUUUAAAAAAACAUACAUGAAUUUUAGUUGUCUCAGCUUAGAGCUAUUAUAUGGGUAUAUAAUGUAAUAACUAGAAUCUAAAUUUCAGAAUGAUAAACUGGAUUUGAUCUGUCCAUGUUUUGAAGGGCACAGCUUUUUAAAGGUAAAUGGAGUCAUGUGGACAAAGAACAUUUACAACAUGUAUCCCUGUAGAACUAACAUGAGCUUCCAAAAGUAAGAGGCAGUGAGUGCUGAAAAAGUUAAAAUGUGAAGUGCCUCUUUGCUCUUGUACUUGUUUUGAUGCGCAACUUCUAACUUUUCCAGUAUCCUCAACUGUCUGUGACUCAUUUUAUUUGUCCAAUGGUAAAUAUUCAACUAGGGAAAUGCUUGUACUUGACUCACGUCCUGUAACUUCUAAAGAUAAUGGACCUGAUACAAUACAGACAUUUUGCUUUUACCGGGAGACUUGAAACGAAACAAUGAGAAAUGCUCCAGUUAACCUGAUGAUUAUUUGGCCAAGUGUUUUGCAAAGCAGACGACAUUGGCCAACCCCCCCUGCUUUUUUUUAAUAGCAUAAUUGAAGGUUUUUCUUGGAUAAGGCUCAAAAUGUAUUCAAGUCUUGGAAUGUUGUGGGUAAAAGGCUGUGUACUAAUAGUUCAUUGAGAGUGCUUCGAAGGAGCACUAAAAGCACAACGUAAAGUUUGGGGUUCAACGGGUAAAAAAUGUAGCAGUGCCAAUUUAUAUUUAGAUAAGCCUAAGUUUUGUAUCUUAACUCUUCCUGGGUUGUUAAAGAAUUUCACAAUUUCUUAAUAUUUGCACUCAGAUGAUAAACACAUUAUAUUCGCUCAAAUGAGUUUAAAAUUAACCUUUUUGUGAGAAGAGAGCUUAAAGUCUCUAAAAAUAUAAGAUACAUGGGCCCAUUUUAAAAUGAGGCAUGUAAUUCUGUGCCAAUUUAAAUACUUCUUUGGCCAGAGGUAAAUACUUCUUUCAUGUUUUUAUAAAAAUAUAAAGGCAAAAAAAACAAAAAAGACACCAAUGCUAUAACCCACUGAGGAAUAUGUAUAGGUAUUUCUCAGAACAACAAACUGAAAUAUACCUUCUGGAAAAGUAGCUCGGUAGUCUACCGAUUCAUUUGAAACCAUUUCUGUAGUUGGGCUUACACUUCGGGCACUUACAAGCCUAUCCAAAUGAGGAGUGUGUACUCUUGCAUCAUAGCGAACUAAUUCACUGCCCAGAUCUUAAAACAGAGAGAAAGAAAGAGCUUGUUAAAGACGUGGCUAUCAUGGGUCCCAGGAGACCCUGACCCAGUGUCAAGAACUCAUGGUUUUAUGGAUCACAUAUAAGACAGCAUACACAUAUCUCUGACAAUUUUACACUAUAAUGACCAUAUUCUUAAGGUAACUUCUUAAAAUAAGAAAUAGUAAAAUAAAAAUGCACCUUUAAUUUGCUUUCUCUUUUUCAGCCACAGGAAAAGCCCGAGUAAUAAUAGGAGUAUUAUUGAUAUCGAGACAACACCAACAAUCAAUCCUGUGAAAUUCUGAUCUGGUUGAACUAUUACUUUUCCAAGGACAGUUGAGGAAACUGCUUGCUUCCACUAAAAAUGACAAAUAAUGACAAGUCGGAAUUUAGCCACGGUAGAUAGUGGAAAAAAAAAUUUUUUUCUUUUUUUUUAGAUAGUUACAGAAUAUAGCACAUGGGAUUAAUCACUUUCCCCUGGUGCCAAAAAUACCACCCAGUUAUUACCCUUCAAGCAGUGGCAAAACUGCCUGCAGGAUAAUAAGACAUUCCUCAAUUCUGCCUCAGCGUUCCAGUAAUUAAAAAAAACCAAAUCAAACCUGUUGCCGUUGAGUCAAUUCCGACUCACAGUGACCUUAUAGGGCAGAGGAGAACUACCCCGUAGGGUUUCCAAGGAGUGGCUGGUGGAUUGGAACUGCCAGUAAUUAAUUAAAAAAGUGGGUACUAAAUCCCAAAGUAUUUUGGUUUAGUCUAUGGCAUAAUAUAAUACUUAGUCAUUUGGAUUAACAAUUAGGUAUUAGGGGUAAGGAGUCCCUGGGUGGUGCAAAUAGUUAACCUGCUCGGCUGCUACCUGGAAAGCUGGAGGUUCAAGUCCACCCAAAGGUGCCUUGAAAGAAAGGCCUGGCAAUCCACUUCUGAAAAAUAAGCCAUUGAAAACCCUAUGGAGCACAGUUCUACUCUGACACACAGGGGGUCACCAUGAGUCGGAAUCGACUUGACAGCAACUGGUUAUUAGGGGUAAAAAGACAAGUAACCAUCUUUACUCUUCCAGAUCUGGGGUAUAAAGGGGAGAAACAGAUGCAUGAAUAAAUGGUUAUAAUACAAUGUGAUAUGUGCCACAGAAGUAUGAACAAAUGGCAAGAAACAGAGCCAACGGGACAUUAAUUUUAUCCUGGGGGGAGAGGAGGCAGAGAGAAGUGCAGAGACUUCCCAUGGGUGAUAAAUAAUCAUAUUAUUACGGGGUAAUAUGGUUUCAGAAUAUUUUUAUUUCCAUUUUGACACCUAGAGGAAGUCUUUGGGGUCCCUUCCAGCUGCAACAUUUUAUGAUUUUUGGUUCUUCUGAAUUCCAAACUCUGAUCUCAUGAGGCAGUCUUAGAUUUUCCAAUUUUUUUGUACUUUUCCACUUCAUAAUUUUUAGAAGACUUCAGGAACCUUUUAAAAAACACCAUUGCCACUGAGUCGAUUCUGACUCAUGGAAGCCCCAUGUGUUACAAAGUAGAGCUGUUCCACAGAGUUUUCUCGGCAAUAAUUUUACUGAAGCAGUUUGCCAGGUCUUUCUUUGGUGGAACCACACCGUAGGUUCCAACUGCCAACCUUUUGAUUAGCAGUUGGUUGCACACCACUUGUGCCACCCAGGCGCCAUUAAACUCAUUCUAGUUCUAGGUUAUCUGAUUGAAGAGUUUAUGUCAAAGAAGCUACUGUAUAAUAGUUUAAUUCUUAUUUAAUUUGUUCAAUGCAUACAUGCUCUUUUACUUAUGGGGUUCCAUGCAUUUGUGAUCACCAUGUAGGACAGAAGUAUGUUGGUUCUGGCUCCUGGGGGGAGGGGACACUCUUAGAUGUGUGCUUAUCUCUCCUGAGACUUAUAGCAAAUUUUACCAGGAGUAAAGCAUGACCGAAAGGAGGUAUGGGUAGGAGCGAUUUUUGAGAUCUCCCUUCUGAUGCUUGGGAAGGAGAUAAAACCAGUUGUCAUCAAAUUGAUUCUGACUCACGGUGACCCUGUAAGUGUCAGAGUGAAACUGUGCUCUGUGGGUUUCCAGUGGCUGACUUUCAGAAGUAGAUCACCAGGCCUUUCUUUUGAGGGGCCUCUGGGUGGACUGGAACCACCCACCUUUUGGUUAGCAGCUGAGUGCGUUAACUGUUUGCACCACUGAGGGACUCUGGGGAAGGAGCUAGUAUGAUAAAAACUUAUUACUUCUAAAAUUACAACUCCGAGUCGAGGCUGAGUUGAUGAGCCAAAGCCAAUACACAAAUGAGCUUUAAUGACUUAUUUUGAGCCUGUGAGUGACAAAAUUACACUGGCAUCCUUAUUUAUAUCAUGAGAGAAAUACAGGAAUCCCACCUCUAUAUUUAGCUCACUGUUCAAUUUCAGCAAGUCAUUGGGGACUGUACAUAAAACAGCUUCAGACUGUAAGUGUAUAUUCUCACAGCUCUUAUUUCCAACUUUCAACACUUCACCUUUAACUGCUUCAGGGUCAAUAUAAUCUCCCUGGAAGAAGAAGAAAAAAAAAGUUGUUAACACUUCACAGUUUCCCAGGAAUGCUAACAAUUGUGAAGGAAUAUAAAUACACAGUAAACGUUGUUGUUGUUGUUAGGUGGCAUUGAGUCGGUUCUGACUCAUAUGUACAGUAGAACGAAACACUGCCCUGUCCUGCGCCAUCCUCACAAACCUUGCUAUGUUUGAGCCCACUGUUGCAGCUACUGUGUCAAUCCAUUUCUUUGAGGGCCUUACUCUUUUUUGCUGACCCUCUACUUUACCAAGCAUGAUGUCCUUCUCCAGGGACUGGUCUCUCCUGAUAACAUAUCCAAAAUACAUGAGACAAGUCUCGCCAUCCUUGCUUCUAAGGAACAUUCUGGCUGUACUUGUUCAAGACAGAUUUGUUUCUUCUUUUGACAGUCCCUGGUAUAGUCAAUAUUUUUCGCCAACACCAUAAUUUAAAGGCAUCAAUUCUUCAGUCUUCCUUAUUCAUUGCCCAGCUUUCACAUGCGUAUGAGGCAAAUGAAAACACCAUGUCUUGGGUCAGGUGCACCUUAGUCCUUAAUAGUGGCAUCUUUGCUUUUCAACACUUUAAAGAGGUCUUUUGCAGCAGAUUUACCCAAUGUAAUAUGUCUUUUGAUUUUUUGAUUACUGCUUCCAUGGGUGUUGAUUGUAGAUCCAAGUAAAAUGAAAUCCUUGACAACUUCAAUCUCCUGUCUGUUUAUCAUUCUGUUGCUUACUGGCCCAGUUUUGAGGAUUUUUGUUUUCUUUAUGUUAAGGUGUAAUCCAUACUAAAGGCUGUGGUCUUUUUAUUUGCCAAGGCACAUGAUUUUUUGAUACUAAUUUUCAUGGGAAUUUGGAUGGCCGAAGGGGAGCAUGAUCCUUUCAAGGCACUAAUUAGUUAGAAAUCACAGCCUAUAACUUUUCUAUCAAAUUGGAUUAAACAAACAAACAAACCAAACCCACUGCCGUCGAGUCGAUUCUGACUCAUAGCACACAGUAGAACUGCCCGAUAGAGUUUCCAAGGAGCACCUGGCAGAUUCGAACUGCCGACCUCUUGGUUAGUAGCUGUAGCACUUAACUGCUACGCCACCAGGGUUUCCAACUGGACAUCAGAGAACAGGAAAGAGAUUCUUUUUUUUCACAACCUUAUAUUUGAAUGACAUCUCACCCAAUUUCCACGUGGCUGAAACAUAAAUCACCUUAUUAUUAUAUUCAGGUGGUAAUGACGGCUGCCAAAACUAAGCAAUGUAGAGAUUCUGCCCUUGUGCUGCCUAAGGCUUGCUGUUAGCUGCCUUAGAGUUGACCCCUGACUCAUGGGGACCCCAUGUACUUUGGAAUAAAAUGCUAAUCAGUCCUAAGCCAUCUCCAUAAUUGGCUGCAAAUCAGCCUUUGUAAUCCAUAGGGUUUUCAUUGGCUGAUUUUCAGAAGCAGAUUGCCAGACCUUUCUUCCUAGUCUGUUUUAGACUGGAAGCUCCGCUGAAACCUGUUCAGCAUCAUAGCCACAUGCGAGACCAAUGAUAGAGGGGUAGUGGCUGCUCUGAGAUGCAUUGGCUGGGAAAUGACCCUGGGUCUCCCAUGUGGAAGGCUAGAAUUCUACCUCGGAACCACCAAUGCCCCACACUGCCUAACGCUAACAUCUGUUAAAGGCAGUGAUUCUCAACCCCUUGGCUUUACUUAAAAAAAAUAAAAGUACUGAUGCCUGGGUUCCACCUCCAAAGAUUCUGAUUUAAUUGGUCUAGAGAUGAUAUUACAUAGUCAAGAUGAGAACCACUGCAGGGAGUAGAUCUGAGCCUCUGUGCUAACAUUUCCCUUUUCUGUUUGAGUCAGGCAGUUUCUUUUCAUUAAUCCUUUACACUUGAAUCCUAUACAGAAAUGAAUUCACUUUUGAAGAAAUUCCUAGAAGAUACCAUAUGAUCUUCAUUACUGACUUGAAAGCAUGAGUAUAGUCUCUGGGUCAGAUAUAUAAGUACAUGAGGAUUUUUGAAAAAUUAUUCAAUUUGACAUAUUUAGUUAACUGAAGUUCCCAUUAGGCUAUUUUAAAAACAUCAAUGUUUCAUUGACAAACCAAUGAUUAGCUUUGGGAAAGAAGUAUAAACACAGGUACAAUUUCUCAUAUCAGCCCUAAUGAGUACAGUCAUUCAUUAAACAGGCCAUUACAUUGAAAAGAGACAGAUCAAAAUAUAUUACUAUUUUUCUUAUUGAUAAAGCACAGCCAGCAGUAACUAUAGUGAUGCCACUUCACUUUGUACGUGCAAACUGCUUUCAUAUACAUGGUCUUCGAUGAAUGCCAAUAGAUUGGUAGGUCAGAUAUUAUUCUGGGCAAAGAAGUAGGAAGAAAAUGCUUCUUUAUAACAUGAAACUGGAGCUUAAGAAAAAGUGCAUAUGGACAAACCUUCUCCUUAUGAUAUUUCUAGAGGCAGAAUGUGCCGUCAUGGAACCAGGUCAGCCACACAGGGCAAUUCAACACAGAAGCACAUAAAUCUAAUAGGUCACUUUGGGGCUUCAGAUGACAACUUGUUGGUUGGGUCUGAGGCAGGUCUGAAUUCACUCACAUAUUGGAGGGAAUUCAGGGAAUGACAACGAAAGAGAUUAAAGAGCUGGAGGGCUUGAUUUAUGAGGGAGGGACUAAAAUGUGUCUUGCUUGCUUAGAUAAUAACUAAGGUUGGGGGAAGGGACGAACAUGCUGUAUUCAGGCUUCCGAUACUCAUUCUUUCCGGCUCAGAAUCUCUUUGGAUGUUGCACAAGGGUUUCUCGGGAGCAAAAACAGAUCACACAACCUGAAAAAUGAAACCCCUUUUCUUAAGUGCCUACCAAGGAACACAUAAGUAGUGAUUUAUACAGCUAAACCUGUGAAAGCUGGAACCUGUGUAAGGCGGAAACCUGUGCGAGAAGGAAAACUCAAAUAUUUUCCACAAGUAGAAUGUGACAGAAAAGGGGUAAGACUGUACCCUGUCAAAGGUGGAAAACUUGUGAGACACAGAAAAACAAGGCAGUCCCAUUGAGUUCCGGUUUUCACAGUUUUCACUGUAUAAGAAAUUACUGUCUGAUUUGUGUGUGUAAUUGUCUUGAAGGCCUAAAAUGAAGAAGUGGAAAAAUCUAAGCUAUCAUAAAAGUGGGAAACCCUAGUGGCGUAGUGGUUAAGUGCUUCUGCUGCUAACCAAAAGGUUGGCAGUUCGAAUCCACCAGGCACUCCUUGGAAACUCUAUGGGGCAGUUCUGCUUUGUCCUGUAGGGUUGCUAAGAGUCAGAAUCUACUUGAUGGCAACGGGUAUCAUAAAAGUGGUACUGGCAGUUCACUACUAUUACAACAGAGAGGCCCAAGUCAAGAAAAAUAAAAAUAGGUACAGGCUACUGUGUUCUCAUUUGAAAUAAAUAUACCUUUACUGAACUGUGCAAAACUUCUAUUAAUUAUUAUUAAAUAGAAGAAAAUAUUUAUAAAAUUUGCUCAGUUCUGCAGACAUUAAGCUGGUAAUAUCUGGAUUUUUAAAUAAAGCAACAGAGGGAACGUUCCCAUCUUUAAUUCCCUAGGUACAUACAGCAAUUUAGAGUUAUAAUCAUCUCAUCUUUAUCGUGCAGUCACCCCCCUGAGGCAGGUAUUAUUGUUAUUCCUGCUAUACACAUGGAGAACUAAGGUUCACACAGGUGACAGACUUGCUCAAGGUCACAGAGAAAAUCAAAUUCCAUUAGAUACUCCAUCUAUUUAGCAUCUACUGUUUGUUCGAGCUGGGAGCCCUGGUGUCACAGUGGUGAAGCGCUUGGCUGCUAAUGGGAAGGUUGGAGGUUCAAACCCACCAGCCGCUCUGUGGGAGAAAGAUGUAACAGUCUGCUUCCCUAAAGAUUUACAGCCUUGGAAAUGCUGUGGGGCAGUUCUACCCUGUCCUUUGUGGUUGCUAUGAGCUGGAAGUGACUCGAUAACAGUGGGUUUGGUUUUCUGGUUUUGGUUUGUUAAACACAGUUCUAGUUACUGGGAAUACAAUGAUCAAUAGCAGUUUGUUCUUGUCACUGUAAUGUUAAAAUGAAUACAUUUCUAAAGUGAAAACUACUCCCAAUGUCACAUCAGGAUGUUCCUCACCCCUUUCCUCUCAGCUCUGGCCAAGUGUGACAUAAUGUUUCCACCUGGGAUUCAGGCCUGGGGCCUCGUGUCUUUGAUGGUUAUAGAGCAGUGCAAGUGGGGGUAGGAUCUGAAAAAUAGCAUUAUAAUAGGAAGGGUCCUGAGAGUUCUCAUACACCCAAGUGGCCACAAGGCUGAGCCUGGGAAAGUCAGUUAAAGCAGUGAGGGGAACGUUGGUAGGUGGGCCCAGUCAUGCAAGGGUCUGAAGCCCAGAGAUGCAGAGCAGCAGAAAAGCAGAGAGUCAGUGGUGGUAGUGGUGGGAUUUACUCCUAUCCAGAGAAUAUGAAUUCUUCAGAUCAGGAACCAGGCCAAAGAACCUUCACAGAAGGUUCCACAACUGAGUUCCAUAGGACAUUAAUAGGCAUUUGAGGAAAAAGUUCCCUGGGCAUUUGAGAAAGUUGGUGAACAAAAACUAAAUUGGCUACUUGAGGCCUUUACUAUUGUUGUUAGUUGCCACUGCGUUGGCUUCAACUCAUGGCAACCUUAUGUAUAACAAAACAAAAGGUUGCCCAGUCCCGCAUCAUCUUUAUAAUCGUAGGAAUGCUUGAGUCCAUUGCUGUGGCUAUUAUGUCAAUCCAUCUCAUUGAAUGUUUCUCUUAUUUUUCUUGGCCCUCUACUUUACCAAAAAUGAUGUCAUGUCUUUUUCUAGCGAAUGGUCUUUCCCGAUGGUGUGGCCAAAGUAAGCAAGUUGAAGUCUUGCCAUGUCACUUCCAAGGAGCAUUCUGGUUGUAUUUCUUUUAAGAUUAAAUUGUUUGUUCUUUUGGCAGUCCAUGGCAUAUUCAGUAUUCUUCAGUACUAUAGUUCAAAUUCAUCAUUUCUUCUGUCUUUCUUUUUAAUUGUCCAGCUUUCACAUGCAUAUGAAGUGCAACUGAAAAGAGCACGGGUUAGAUCAGGCAAAUCUUAGUCAUCGAAGUGACAUCUUCACUUUAAAGAGGACUUUUGCAGCAGAUUUCACCAAUGCAAUAUGUAGGUUGAUUUCUUGAUGUUGAUUCUUGAUCAAGUAGAAUGAAAUCACUGACAACUUGUAGGCACUAUGAGACCACAGGUGCUGUCUGUAUGUCCUGGAAUAUGUUUUUCACAGAAUGUCUAUUAACGUGUGCAGCCCAGUUUGGGAAAUACUACUUUGAGACUAAGAUAUGAGCGCCAUUAACAAGAAGAGGUUUUGACACUGGGCCAGUAGGUCUUUUCUCAAACGGCCUCUGAGAAAAGAACCUUUCACUUCCAUCCUGUCUGGAGUUAGAAAUAGCCUCAUGGUGGCUGGGGUUGGAACUGAGCCUAUGGUUGCAGGUGAAUUAGUCAGAGAGAGGAGAAAGACAACCUCUGGCUGGCUCCUGGGCAGUAGGUGGACUGGGUUGGCUCAGGGGCUCCUGGGUCAGAACAAAGCUACCUUCUAGAUCCUUCUGAUCCCCAGACACUGCCACCUGGCCUCUACCUGAGUUCCCAAACCUUUGUUCUUAUGUUUGCAGUGUCAGAGCUUGAGUCCCUAUUCUCUGCAUUAGCUGGUCUUCCUGUCUUAGAUGACUUCUCUAGACAGGACUUUUGAAGCAUCUCUACUACUGUGUAUUACAAAAUGCUCCGGGUAAGAUCAACUCCCAGGCCAGUGUCUCUGACCAGUCUUAUUCCACCCAGAGUUCCAGCAUCAUACAGUGUAUUUCUCUACUCUCCAUAAAAUAUACUCAUGUACCAAAAGUCAGAUAAUAAAAUAAUCAGGAAAAAAAUAGAGUUUCUUUAGAAAGAAUUAACUUUCAGAUUAUUUGUAAAGAGUUUAAAGACCUUUCACUUAAAAAUUGUGUGGGUGUGUGUACAGCUACAUACCCUAUGCUAGAAAAAUUUCUCUAUUAUGAAAGGUAUUUUGGUGCAUGUUAAAUGAAAGUUAAUAUGAGAAGCAAUAUGAUUUAGUGGAAAGAAGAACAAAUUUGGAAUCAAGGAACUUGAGUGUGAGCACUGGCUCUGCUCUUUGCUCCCUGGGUGACCCGAGAGAAAUUAAACUCUCUAAACUUCCAUUUACUUAUUUAUAAAUGGGGAUAAUCACCACUGACCUCCCAACUUUAUAGGUCCAUGUGAGACUCAAAUAAAAUAAUACAUGUCAAAGUACUGUGUCACAUAUAAAAUUCCAUACAAAUGUGAGCUGUUGUUGAUAUGCUCAUUGUACCCUAACCUAUACUCCCAAAGAGAUGUCUCCUUCUGUUUAGCACUGUCCACAACUGGCGCUGGCUGUCUUGAAGGCUUGGCCAUAAACUACGUCAAUGGGGCUUCUGAUUCAUUGUGAGGAGUGACUGACCACCCCUGGUCCUUAUUAUGUUCUCUUGACCCAAAGUUGGCUGACCCGUUUUUGGCCACGGUGUAGUCAUGGGGCCAACUGCUGACUGAGGCUGGGGCUGGAAAUGAUUGCAAUCUCUUUAUAGCCAAAGAAUUCUUGCAUGCAUGGCUGCUUGAGGAGCAUGAACUGUUCCUGGCAAUGAGGAGUAAAUCUCACUCCAAACACACGAUUCUAUCCAUAGCACUUUCAUUGAUGGGACACAAACAUGCUUCACAUGAUGUUUUGAAUGGUAAUUGAACAAGCAUAGCAUGAAGUAAAAUGCUAGCCUUUCUUUGGAUAAAAACAGUUCAAAAAAAAAAAAAGCUUGUCCGGAUUAGGAUUUAUCUUUUUAUUUCUCAUGCUUUGCUUUCUUUUGUUUCUGCCUAAGAGAGGCAGAGGUUUUAAUUUGAUCAAAUCUGGACACUGAUAAAGGGUUAAAUUGCUGCCACAAUAAAUAUUCCCCUGCCCCUUAGAUUUCUUCUUAUACGUAAGGAAAAAUGGAGUAUGGGAAAACUUGGGAUCAUGAUAUCAAAAUAAUCCCCUUAAACUGCCUCCAAUUCCACCAGAUUCCUACUCUGGGACAUGACAGGUGCUAUAUACACUUGUUAGAGAGAAGGGUUAGUGUGUAUGUGGCAAGAGAAGAAAGUGUUUUGUGUCUGUCUCUAGACACCCCUUGGGCCAUGUUGGGAAAAGCAUUGACAGACUGAGAAUGAUGUUAAAUCAUGUUUUUCUUGGUCCAACAAUUUUGUAGGACGUUGAAUAAUGGGUAUUUAAUUUAUAGAAAAAGAAAUUUUCUCUUGUAUGUAAGACUGUGCUUGGAAGGGCAGAUAAAGAGCCAUUUAACACUAAUCCCUCCAUCACAGAUACAGAAACAGAGCUUUUCUGGGCAUAAAAAUAUUUGCACAUAGACCUUUGUUUUUAUUAAGAAAAACCAAAUGGAAUCUUUUAAACGUCAAACACAGUAAUUGUUGAAAGCAAAAGGUCACACUAGAUUAGUUUUAUUGAAAAAAAAAAAGACUUGAUAAAAGCUCUUUCCCUUUCUAAAACUAAUUAAAGAAGCAGAUGAAAGAACUCUGCUGUGGUAAACAUGUUGUUCAUUGAAGCAAGCUUCCAUUUAAUUUCAUGCUGGGCUUGCUUAACUAUUGUACGAAACGCAAAUGUGAAGUUAGUACACUUGUGAAUGUGAAUGUGUGUAUGGGUUGGGCUGUAGAUUAUAUCUUGUUGAAAAAGCAGAAACAUUUUAGUAGAAAUAAAUCAUUGCUUAGAUGAAGAUAACCUAUGGGAACCAAUAUUACAUCUAAAUAAGGACUAUUUUAUUGCUUUGUGUGUGUUCAUAUUGUGUUUGUUCUGAGUGUCUGAAACAAUUGUGUUUGUUAAGCUGUGAGUGUUGGGUUGUAAGUGUUGAGAGAUUUUUUUGCUGUUUCUAGUGGAUGGAUAAUCAAAGUCUUGGUGGUUUUGCCUGUUUUAUUACUAGUUGAGGUAAAAAUGACUGAAGCAACAUUACAGUCUCGAUUCUGCCACUAUUUCACUGCUUAUUAAACCACUUAACAUCUUUAGUUAAGUUAACCACUUAAUAGCUGUAGUGUUCAUCACUGGCAACAGGCAGGGGUUAGAAAAGAUGAUCUAUUAUUCUCUGAUUAAACUAUAUUUAGAGACUAAUAUAUUCCUCAGGUGGUAGAAAUCCAGUUCCAUUUAUGAACCAGCUUAGAGAUGACCAACCUAGAUACAAAAUUCCAAGUAUUACAAGGAUGUACCGAACUACAGUUGAUGCAUUUAUUUUCAUGAGUCUUACUUUUUACUUUGUAGUGAGUACAUUAAGUGUUCAGGGAAAUGUAUACAUCUGCAGGAUAAUACCUUCACUGUUCAGUGGAUUUGCGUUCUACAUUUGCUACUUUUUAAUAGAUACAGAAGAAAGGGUUUUUUUAAAUGCUUCAUUAAAAAGCAAUCCAUGAUUAUACUUAUCUUUUAGUCUUAUGCCAAAAAAGAUUUGUUUCUUGGAGCUUAGAUAUUUGCUGAUGGAGCAUAAGAUACAAUGACAAAACAAUUCUAUUCGCAUAGCUGUAAAUCAAUUAAGUUUAAGCUGAUCAUUUAAGAGAACACUUAAGCAUUUCUUACCUUAAUUUCCAGUACAUUUUCAUUGCCCAUUGAGAUCAUCACAGGCUUUUUAAAAGGUUUAAACACAGGAUUAUGUACAUAAAUGAGAUCAAAGUAAUUGGAAUGGAUCCCAUCUAACAUGAAGAAAGCUUUGGUUUUCAGGGGGAGUUGCAGGUUCAGCUGUUGCAGUGAAGGAGUUGUACAGCAGAUUAUCUCUGAAUUAGAGCGAUGCUGACAUGCCUGCAGCAAGACACAAUUAAUACACUAUAAACAGAAUAGUUUGACAUCAGUAGCAACUUUUACAGUUCACAAUUUCAGACAGUCAAUUGAAAAUACAUAAUUUUUGAAAAAAAAUUGCAUUUAACUUUCCUAAUUUCUGGCAACAUGAUAGAUGUUAAAUUAUCCAAAGAACCCAGUCUUCAAAGGAACACAGAGCUUCACUCGCCCUGAAUAAGCCAUGCUGAUGUCUCCGAAGCUGGCCUUCCCUAAAUCAUUUCAUUUUCCCUAAGAAGACCUUGGUUCACAUACUAUUUUUAAACCAAAUUAUGGAAACUGGGGCAAAGCCUGUACUUAGGAACUUGGUUUCCUCAUUUAGAAAGUAAGAUUAUAAUACUAUAUGUAAUAUGGGAUAUUUUGUGGUAAAGUGCUUCGUAAACUGCCAAGCUCCAUACAGUUAACAUUAUAAUUAACUUUGUAGUUAGGUAAUCUUAUUAGUAUGUUUUAAGCUAUUGAUUACUGACUGAGCCAGGUUCUGUGCAAAAUGCUUUACCAGGUUGGUCUCAUUGAAUUCUCAGAAUUGUCCUAUGAGGUAGGUACUAUGAUUACUCACAUUUUACAGAGAGACUGAGCUCCUAAGCUUAUGUAAUUACACCAGGUCACGGAGUUGGGCAGAACUGAGCACAAAAAACCUAGGCCAUAUGACCCCAAAACUCACUGUCUUCAUUCUCAGACUAUAUUGCUUUUUGUUCUCUACACCUUAUUGUAUAUUAGUAAACCCUUUUCUGUGUUCUCUAUUUUAUAAAGUGUGUGCUAUUAUUAUUUCAUGUUCUUUCACCUCCCAGUUCAAAUAUUCUCCUCUGGAAUUCUGAUUUAUGGAAUUUUGGAAAAUGUGAUUUCCUUUUGAUUGUGCUUGGACUAACCCAGCAACACAAAGUGGGACAUGUGAGGUUAAAUGGCUGAGUUUUCCCCCCAAGGAAAAGACAAACAAGCAACAGCAUCCCUUUGAUUUCCUUUGCUUUGACCAGUAUAGCUGGAUAUGAAACAAUUACUUAUGCCCACAAUAGCAAAAGGACUCAGGAUAUACAUAAAAAGCACAAACAUGAAAUUUGGUAUUUGAUAAUUAAAAAAAAAAUUAAAAGACUAUCCUACAUUAAAAAAUAAAUGUAAACAGAUAAAGAAAACCAAUCCUUAGAUUUGAUAUGAAUAAAAUAUUAUUUAGUUUUACAGUAAGUUAAUAUAAUCCUAAAAGUUAUUUAUUCCUAUCACACCUUGAAGAAUGGAAAUGUACUAACAUCACAAUAAUUCUCCGCAAAACAACAAGAAAUUUGAAAACUACAUAACAAAUGGCUGACUUCUGGAAUAUGAUGGACGUUAACAGAUUAACAUACUUUUUUUAAGAAGGUGAUUACUAGUUUUAUUUUAAAUGAUUAGCAUUUACUAGACUUAGAAUGAUUGUGGCUAGAUGUAUAUCUCUAAACCAGAAUCAGACCUGAUCAAGAGUUUUUGUUAAAUAGUGAAUGGGUUCGAUUCAUCCUGGUCAGUCUCAAAUUCUCUAAGCAGCAGGGAACAUGGAAGGAACACAUAUCUCUUUAUGACAUAGUUUUCACAAACAAUGGUAAAAUAGACCCACUGAAUUUUUCACUCCUGUCCAAUUCUAAUGCAUAGUUCUAUUGUACUAACACCUUUGUGGCUAAAAUAAUAGAAGUUUACAUAUCUAGAGAUGCACGCAGAUAAGAUUUUUAUCUUUUCCCAUUGUUUAAAUUCUCUUUGGGAUAUGCAACUCUAAACCUGACACCUAGGAGGUUUUUACUAAAUAUCUGAUAACGAAAGAAUAAAGCCAAGAGGAACUCUAUCCAAGACGAAGGAAGGGAAUUUAGUCAUGAUUUUAAUAAUGUAGGUUUGGUGCUAUUAGAUAAACUAAUACUUUCUCAGAUUUUUGUUUUCAAAGUCACAUGCCAUCACCAAGGAGCAUUACUGUAAUUUUUAUUUGGUUAAUGAAAACUGUUAUGCUUGGUUGUCGGGUAUUGAUGUCCUUUAAAUUAAUAGCAGUGGUAUUCUAACUUUGUUUGUGGCUGUGUGUGUGGGUUGGUUUCAAAGCCCUUUACCUCAUAUGAUGACUCCCUAGAGUAGAAUCUCUCAGGAAUAUGAUAAAAAUCUAAUAAGACUCUUUAGAGGUGAUGCAAUAUGGCUGAUUGAGAAGGUCAAGAAAAAUCUCAUUUGGGAUGCCCUUAUUGUUUGGUGAUUUGGCUUGACAUUUUUAGCACAAAAUUGGUUUUUGUAAUUAAAGAACACUGUGGCUUUAGUCUUCAAGAAAUAUUGGAUGAGAAUCUAAGAGAAAGUGCUGUAAUUCAAUCUAUCACCUGCCCAACGAAGACCUUUCUUGAGAGGGAGCACUUAGAACUUUUCAUUCCAAGUUGAGUGCACUAGUUCGGGUUGAAUAUGGUAUUUUAUAUUAGAGAUAAACCUAAAGUUUGGAAUCUUUGUAAAUAACUCCAAUCUUCCUAAAGUCUUAACUGAAAUGACCAUUACAAUGUGACCUAUAUAGACUGUUUAGCAUAAAACAGGUCGGUCACUUUUAACAGUAAAGUGGAGGGUCAGUAAAACAAGAGGAAGGCCCUCAACGAGAUGGACUGACACAGUGGCUGUAACAAUGGGCUCAAGCAUAACGAUUGUGAGGAUGGCAUGGUACCGGGCAAUGUUUUGUUCUGUUGUAGACAGGGUUGCUAUGAGUCAGAACUAACUCAACGGCAACGACUCAAUGGCACUGACUCGAUGGCACUCAAUAACAACAACACCGCUUUUAUGGAGGCAUUCAAGUUUAAUUUUGAUUGACCUUACAAAUAAGAAAAGGCAAAGAAACAUAAAAUAACACACAGACUCUAGGACACAAAAUAAAUAUUCUAAUGUUCUUGUUGCCUGAUAACAGAACAAGAGGAAUGGCAAGAAGAGGGGCUGUAAGCAAGCAUUGUGUGCCUUCCACUUAGAAAGACAAGGAUGCUGCUGCAAGACUAGAGGCUUUAGCUGAGGGUUUUACCAGAGCAAAGGCUGAUGUUCUAUGAUGCAUUAAGAAUGGGGAGAGGAGAAUGAUGUGAUUUCCAUUUGUACUGUCUUUAAAAACACUGACUCAAGUGGGUCAUCAUCAUCGAUGUCUAAAUAUUUUAUGCAAUAUUUGUAUUAAUACACACACACAUAUACAAUAUAGACAUAUAUAUAUGAAGUCCCUCGGUGGUGCAAAACAGUUAAGCACUUGGCUACUGGUCGAAAGGUUGGUAGGGUGAAUUCUCUCAGAGAUGGCUUCAGAGAAAGGAAUGGCAAUCUACGUCUGAAAGAUCACAAAAAAAACCAAACCAAACCUGUUGCCAUUGAGUCGAUUCUGACUCAGCACAGCCAUCGAAAACCCUAUGGAGUACCGUUCUACUCUGAAACACACGGGGUUGUCAUGAGUCAAAACUGACCCAACAGCAACUGGUUUGGUACACGUGUGUAUGUAUGUAUGUGUGUGUGUGUGUAUAUAUAUAUAUAUACACACACAUACACAUACAUAUUUUAACAAUGUUAGCCCAAGACUCUAGAUAAUUUCUGUUGUUGAAUUAAAAAUGCUAUUUGACUUAAGUACAAGGACGGUAACUAGAAAACAUUAGAGGCAAAACUAAAAUGUCCUAUGUGCCCUGAAAGCCAGGUGGAAGAGGCAGAGAUGCAGAGCUUUGAGUACACCCACCACUCAAAGGACUUACCACUGUAAAGUUCCUUCCUGCUUCCUGGACAUUUAUUACCAUCCUUGGGACACUAACUGAAUUCAGGUUUUUUCCAAUACCUGUUAUUGUGCUUCCACCACUGGCAAAAUAAAAUAGAAAAAUGGCAAUAUUGAGACGUUCUUUCUCUACUAAGUAUUUUAAAAGAGAAGUUCAAUUUAAUCACACGCAGUGAUUACAAGUUAGAGGCAUGGCCAAAGUCAAAUGAAGUUCAGUGAUAAGUCUUCUUUGGAAAUAAUUUAUAUUAACUUGAAAAUAUUAACAGAAAAACUUAUAGUUAAUAAGCUAGAGAAAUGCAUUUUAUUUUGUUAUUCACCAAAAAUACAAAAGAAAUAUAUAUAUAUUUUUCUCUCUGAAGGAAUACAGAGGAAAAUGAACUUGACUAUUGUUUGUUCCAUUUAUAGAAUUAAAGGAAACAAGGCAGACUGAACAGGGUCCAAUGAGAUACUGACUGAAAGGAGUCUGGUGCAGGGAAAAUCUGUGUGUGAAGCAGGCAGGGAAAAUACACUGACAGGUGGAGAAAAGAAGACGAUUCCACUUCUGGGCGCUGAGUUUAGCUUAGCAUCGACAUGUAUAUAAUAAAAUGCAAAAAUACUAUGUUGCCACAUUAAACUGUUUUACUGGAAUCCAUUUAAAACACAAUAGAAUAGGAUGAAAUGCUUCUUGGCAUGAACUAGCAUUGAUAAAGUCAAAGUAUGCUAAGAAACUGAAUGAGGUUUUCACUUCUGAAUUGGAAAGGCAGCCUUCAAAAGAAAUGCAACAGCGUGAAAGCCAGACAUAAAGCUACAAUUCCUCUUGACUAUUCUAGAGUGAAAUCAUCCUUAUGUUCUUCAUUUUCUUACACCCAUUGGAAACUUUUACAUACCUAAUAAAAGAUUUGUUUGGAUGGAUUUCAUAGACAGUAGGGUCUUCCUGGUAACUGAAGCUGUAGGCCUCUCGGUUGGCUAAGUCAAUUUUCAGUUUGACGGGAAAGUCAGUUGAAAUGCUUUGGGCUGGGGUAUAACAUUCGAGAACACUAUCUGACACACUGAAUGAAAAAAUUAAGAAAAUGGACCUUAGUUAUUAGAGAUAAACAUACUUCAGAAUUAUACCCACAAAUCAAAAGGAUAUCAUUCAAUGACUCGUAAAUGGAAAUUUUCUGACCUGCCAGUCUAGAAAAGCCUGUUUUAGAUCCCAAACUUAGGCUUAUUAUAGACAAGCCAUCCUUUACUUCAAAACAUUUGUAACUUUAAAAAAGUAUUCUUUUGGUACGUGAUUAACCAAGCUUCUUCAAUUCUAAGAAGCAGAUAUGUAACUCCCCUGUAAACCCAUUUUCCUCCCUGCUUUUUCCUGCCCCAAAAUGAUUUAGUAAUUGUAAAUCUUGAUGAGAAUGCUCAUUUUAAGUAACUGUCAAUUACCAGAAUCUCAAAGCUCACAGUAUAGCUAGGAUACUAAAGUGCAAAAUUUAAGAAGGUGGAUAGGAAGACAAAAUUGAAAAUGUAUUAAUAAACAAUAAAAAAAGUUACAAAAAAUGAGUAAAAGGGAGUACAGGUGGACUUGGGAAGGAGGAAAUUUUGUCAUCAGAAGAGUAAAUAAUAAACAUCCUAAUUUUUCUCCACAAAAAAAGAACAAUCUUUGCUCGAUUUGGUAGGUACAGACACUAAUCCAACUUGACCCAUUCAACAGAAAAUACAUGUACAGCACCUUUUUAAAGUACACGUUUUUCCACCAAUUGAAAUGUGUCUAGAGUUCCCACUGUUUAGGUACUUUCCAGUUAAAGUAACCAAAGUGCCUCCAGCCUUAGGACCAUAACUUGGAGAAAUACUCGUAAUUACAGGUUCCUGCAUGAGAGAGAGAAAAAAUGACAAAACAAAGCAGCUUGUUAAUUUGUAACUUACUUAAAUAAACUAAAUAACAAUCACAUAUCCUGGUUCAUAAGGAAAGUAAUUGACCUACCACAUAGGAAAAUGUCCUAUAUCGUGCUGUCCCUCGACCAUUUGAAAUAAUGAUGGACAGAUUGAAAUGCUUAUUCAUUGCAGGACCUACUGUGCAUUUCAACCUGUAAAAAGCAAAGUUGAAUAUGUUACAAUUCCGAAGGCAUUUAUUUUCUGGCUUGGCUGAUUAUAUGAUCAGACAUUAAAUUGUGAGCUAACUACUACGAACAGCAAGCAUGGUUUCUUGCGAGAAUGCUAAAUGUCACGGUCCAGUGCAGCAUGAAAUCUUCCUAACAACUAUGAACCAAAAGGGAUUUAUGGACUCAGCUGUACCACUUUCCUUCCAACUGUAUAGGCCCAGCCUCCCAGACUUGUGCAUGGUACAAUGCAACCUUUCAAAAUCAUCAACCAUAGAGUGCUGGAGUUAUGAACAGUGAGAGGGGAGGGAGAUAAAAGCGAGUUAUGAGAGUCUCUGGUUCCAGAAAAAUCUGAAAAUAUUUACUCUGUUUCUAACCACUUUAAUAUUGCUUACAAAAGGAAGCACAUUUGUGAAAAUUAAACGUUUCAUUUGUAUAGGUCAUCAACUUGCUUCCUUUAUUUAAAAUACCAUCGUGGCUAUUUUUGAAAUAAAAUUGUUGUGAUUUAAUUGAACACACACACACACAUUCACACACUUCCCAUAUCUCUUUCAUAGAAUAGCUGAGUUCAGAUUUCCAGGGUCUCAAAUUGCCAAGACUGUGUGUUUAUAAAAAAUAUAAAAUUGCAUGUUUUUUUUUAAAUACUCUAUAAAUACUACAGACACAGUAAAACAAAAAAAAAAAGGUCCAUAAAUAUUACAGUACAGAUUUGUUUGUUUUACUCUUUUUUAGCUUAUUCUCUGGAUGGUCAAGCUCAGUCUUCAUAACUGUGUCACACCUAGCAGAAAAUGAUUUAGUUAAAGCCCACUGAACCCAGUAGAAACCGUAACUAAAUGAAACCAGCCACGCGCUCGGGGCAGUUCUUGCUCUCACUCACAUACUUUGUUUACUUGGGCUUGAACCAGGCCACGGGGACAUUUAACUUGAAUCUUUCACAACAACCAUUUACUAAAGUCCAACUGUUUGAAAUGCAGGCAGAGAAAAUACAUACUGGUCUUCACCAGGGAAGUGAGCAAAAUGCAUUUGGACUAAGAAAUUGUAAAAACUUGCCCUGGAGAUUUUCAUAGCACCAAAUACACGCGUAAGCAAAUUUGGCAACAGGGAGUUUGAGAGCAUGGCCUCAAUGUUGUAGCGGAAGUCACUGCUAGAACCCAAGCUCUCUAAUAGCAGGAGGUACAUCUGUCUUGUUGGUGGCAGUAUCUCCCUAGUCUUAGAAGAAUGCUUGCCACAUGGUAUGCACUCAAUAAAGUAUUUUUGAAUGAAUUAAAGAAUGAAAUGGUUCACAGAAGUAUACGUGUUAACGCGGUCACUGGUGGAGCCUUUACUUCAAGGAACAUUGUAAAACGGCUCAGAUACUCAUGGGUGUCGACCACCUACUUGACUCCCACAUCCCUCUGGGAAGUAACCUCUCCAAGGCCACCAACUAUGCCUCUGACAGGAAGAAACCUCCUGUCCUGUCUGCCUCAGCAUGCCUGGGAUCACUGGCUUGCAGGGUUCAGCAUAGGGUUCCCAGUUGUGUCAUUGUGUGGGGAAGGCUAAAGUCCAGGCACCUGGUAGAUAAAGUAGGUGCUGAGGAAUUAGAGGACAGGUGACUCUGGAAUCAGCAGGCCCCUGUGUGAGGAAGUGGGGACCAAUGCUGCCCAUCUGGCACACUCUUUCAUUCACACAGCACUGCAGGGUGAGUAGCUGCCAACGGAGUCUAAUCAAUGAGUGUGACGCAAACACUUCAGGUGCAGAAGGAGGGGUAGGUGCCAAACAGCAGCCAAGAGGUAGAACCAGGACGGAGGCAGUGUGUUGGCUGAUGAGUAAACUUUGAGUUUUGGAUUUUUUUCAUUAGUGGGAUCUGUGUUUACUAAAACGCACAUAAACCAACUGACAGAUUUCUCACCUCAU